rnacentral:lncRNA from 1 species
AAUAAAUAGGUAAGGAUUGGGUCGGAACAUGGAUCCUAUAGUGCUAAAGAAAAGAGAUAAACUCGAUGGUUAUUUAGUGACAUAGAGAGUGGCAUCUAAAUGUUUCAAGAACCGAACGAGUGGCAUUAUGUAGUGUAUUUGACACUAGAGGUUCAUGAACUUAGGAAUAGGUGGAUUCCAUAGAAAAUGACUCGUGAACAAUGAACUUAGUAUAGCUAAGUAAAUAUGCAUGAAUGUCGGAAUAGAUGAGUUCCGAGAGAAUGUUGGCCCUAGUUCGUAGGGUAUCCUCACGUGGAGAUGAUAGAUCAAGCUCACGGUCUGUUAUUUGGGGUGGUAAAGCCAUCCAUAUCCUCACAUGGAGAGGAUUGGUCGUCGAGUACUCCAGAGUGUCGGGUGAUAGGACAGAGUUGUCCGCAGACAGUCCCGGGUUCGGAGGCAUAUGGAGCCUCCUUACCCAAUGGGAUCGAUAUGUGAGUCGUAGGCAAACCCAAGGAUUUUGCCACAGAUUGGGUAAAUGGAAAGUUAACAUUGUCAUCGAACAUUGCCUAUUGAACAUGGAUCGAACUUGUUAGCAUGAUAGUAACCUCUUACUAUAUGAUGGAUGCAUUCAUUACACAUGAUUAUGGGCAUAGUAGUAUUGUUUUCCUAUUAUGUCUUUACAGGUUUGAUAUAUAUAUAUCUAUCUAUCUAUUUCGUUGUUACUUUUGCCCACUUGGACCUAGUGGGGAGAUCGGCGGAGUCGGCGGCCGAGCCCACUGGAAACUAUGGAAGAUAGUUCUCACCCCACUUUAUUUUCAGGGCUAGGUACAGGUUUGUCGGGCGAGGACCGCGGCAAGGGCAUCGCGCCCGACCAGUGAGGACUAUUGGUAGAGUAGUAGCUUUUCUUUUGCAUUAGCACACCUAUGUAUUUGAGAAGGAUUCAUAUAGGUGAGGAUUUGGAGAGCUAUGUACUUGAUGAAAAUAUGUAUUCAUUUUGAGGAAAAGAAUGUAAAUGUAUACAAACGCAAAUGUGAUGUAAUUGGAUGUUAUAGCUAGUAAGUUCUCUCUUUAUUUCACUUGUGUAUCUUGUGGAUUACUUGCUCUUCGUUGUUGGCACUAUUUGUGCCCCGUUGAUUGUGUACUUAUAGAAUUUAAUUUUUUCUGGGUAAAUUCUUGUACAUGAUCAGGUUGUGAGCCUUGGGCGGGUAGGGGAGUUGCUACCCGUUCGACGUUCGUUCGCUGCGCCCGAACCGUGCCCAAUUGGUAGGGGUUUUGGGGGGGGGGAGUGACAAUGACAUUGGACCUAGUGUUAGUGAACCUAGGCUAUGAACAUAUCGACAUCGAACCUAAAGUAUUAACUUAGAUUGAACGAAGACUUGGACCUAGAUAGGUCGAUAAUAUAGGGUAAGACCAACCCUUGAGUUAUGUAAUGUGGAUUCUGGAAUUCCGGCUGCGAGUGCAGCGGCUGCUAGUGCAGCAUAUGAGCUCGACAGUUCUUGGCCGCAGGUGUGUGUGACAUAUUCCCCUCCCACCGGGAGAACUGCGAGGCUUGAGAUUGAGCAAGAAUCUUGAUUCUCUAGGGUGCGUGUCGCAUAUUCCCCUCCCUAUCGGGGGUUUUGGGCCGCGGGUGCGUUUGGCAUAUUCCCCUCCCACCGGAAAGAUCUCUGACCACGGGUGUACGCAGCUCUGGGCGACCCGUUGGGCGAUGUGGUUUGUGGAUUGAAGGCUGAGGUGUAUGUCAAAGUUCCUUCACUUCGAGCCGGACAGAGAGUGGAUUAUUCGCAGUUGAUUGACUCAAGACCGAGUCGAGUGGCAUAGUUGGCUAAGGUAAAGUAACCUUAGGAAAGAAUGACAUAUGUGUAUAAUAUGGCUAAAGUGCGAGUGCCCUUAGUAAUAAGUAGAGAAUAAAUAGUAAAGAAUGGCUAAUGUUAAAGAAUAGCAAAUGCUAAAGGACAACUAAUAUAAAAAAUAACGAUUAGCGAUAAAGAAUUGCUAAGAGUAAAGAAUGAUUAAGAAUAAUGAGUAGAAUUAACUAAUCUCACUACAACAAAAUUAAGCUAUAGCGACACUUUUAAGUGUCCCUAAAAUCUAAAAAAAGUGUUGCCGGUAAAAAUACCGACACUCAAAAUAGCGUCGCUAUAUGUGCAGUCCCUAGGGUAUAUAGCGACACAUAAUAAAAUGUUGGUAUAUUCCAAAAUAAGUGCUGCAGUUUAGUGACACUUUUUUUUACUUUUAGUGACACACAUAAGUGUCCCUAGUUUUUUUAAAAAAAGUAAUUUUUUUUUUAUAUAGUGACACUUUAUAAGUGUCCCAUUAUCAUUCAAAAUAUAAUAUUUUAUUUAAAAUCUAGUCUAGUAUUAAACUUUAGUUAAGCUAAUCUCAUUUACAUUAAAUCGAUGAGACUCAAAAAAAGCAAUCAACAAAGUUUCUUAAAUUCUUGUUAAAAAGAUAAAACUAAAAUCAAAUAUCCAUACGUCACAACAAUAAUAUCCACUCACUGUAGUAAUUAUAACAAAUCAAACUCUCUAACUGAAAGAAAUACAAAAAAUCAAAAAUAGUAUGAUAGCAAAAUCAAAAAUUGUAUAAACGAAUUCUGAUCGGCUCCACGAAUAUAUACUUGAACCUGCACAUUGAAUAACACUUCAAUUAGUUCAAAUUUGUGCAACAUCCUUGAUUUGCCAGAGCAUUAAAAAAGAAAAGUGUACUGCCUAUAUUUUUUAACAACAAAAUGCAACAGAAUUCCGCAAGAAAUUAAACAAAUCAUUUUCCGUCGAAAUUAGUACCAAGACAUUAAUAAUCCAAUUCGAAACUGCUGGGUUAAAUUGACACAAGAAAUACUGCACAAAGUAAUUAAGUUACACCAUUUAUAGUUCUUCGACUAUCAAAUGAAUAAUGUUGAACUGUUUUAAAUUAGUGUUUUUAUUCUUUUUAUAGUAUAAUUAGAAGUGUAAAAUCAAAGCAUUAGAAUGAAAAAUAUGUUGGCUUGUUGCGUGUAAAUUCAAUGGAUUCCUAACUUCAAAUUAGAAUUUUGAGUGUAAAGUUAAAAUUUUUUACAUUAUUUUAUUAUAACAAGAACAAACAAAUUAUAAUUCUUAUCUAUUAGUUUUUUUUUGACAAAAGGAUAAGAUAUGAGGGCACUAGAAAUAACUGGAGAAAUAGCCAAGUAUAACUGGAAACUUUGUGUUUGUUAGUAUGUGGCCGACAUAACAAGGCAUGCAUGUUUGUCUUAAAUAGAGCUCGUUAGGAUUUAUUCCUUUUAGAAGUAUAAUAUAAUUGUUUGUUGAAGCACUUCAACAACUUCCCAUCCAAUCAGAUCUUUCAUAGAAAUAGAUGAUAUUGAAAAGGUACUACAUAGCCUAGAUUGAGGCAUUCAUAGCAAGACAAAAAGACAAUAAACAAAAACGAGAAAAGAGGAAAAGACAAUAAAUGAAACUACGGAUCUCAUGAAGUGAGAACUCGAGAUCUUUUGUUUUGAAGUAAUACCUCUAUAAGGUAAUUCCGGAGGCGGUAAGGAGUGUGUUACUGGCCCUUGGUAGUCGAUCUCGUAGAUCUCCGGCACUGCAGUAUCUUGAACAGAAGCUGUCGCAUAUCAAUUCCUUAAAAUCAGCUAAUAUCCUUCUAAUCAUUAAUUGCUCAUGCAAAUUAUUUUACCAACAGAUGGAAACCACAAAGAGUUGUAAGAAAAGGAAUACAACAAAUAACAUACUGCUGAGAUCAAACCUGUAAGGUUUUUUUUUUUCUGACAAAACAAACCUGAAUAUACAGUUGACAGAGUCACUGCAAGAACCAAAAGGAUAAGAACAUAAACUUGAGAUCUUCGCGCCAUUUUCCACUACUCUCGACUUCGUAAUCGCAACGAGAGGAGGAAUCAAAUGAAUUAAGCCAUCAUCAUUAUUAAGAGAGCAAGGUAUAGCUAGCAUAUGAGGUUGGUGAUGGUGAUGCACCAUUAAAUUAUGAUGCAUCUGCACCACCAAUUAGCAAGAUGCUACAGUGGGGCCUGGUUUUACAGCAGGUUCCUAUGACCAAUUAUUGGAGCCAUAUACAUUUUGAUCACAUAGAACCUAUAGAUGCAUAAAGCUCUUAGUACUUUUUGUAGUCAACAGUAGAGGACAAGCCCAUGUGAGAAGCAUUAGGUGGUUUUUGGAGGACGAACCAUUCACAUAGAACCUAUAGAAGCAUAAAGCUCUAUUUUGAUGUAGUAAAAAUAUAUAGAAGCUCUCCUUACCGCCUCCAGAAUUACCUUAAAGAAGAUAUUUCCUUGACAAGUAUGUCUAUGUAAUCAACUCCAACAACACUAGCAGUAAAAAUGUUUCGUUUGAUAGAAAGAGAGAGAGACCUGUUUCUGCUAGCAAAAAUGUUUCCUUCGACAUAAACACUCAAGGUAGAUUGCGAUUGAGCAAAUUCUGAAAGGAAAUGUACAAAUCCUUGUUUUCUGUACCAAAAAUCUCUUCUGCCUUCUCUACAGUUUCCUGCAAAAUUGUAAAAAUCUUGUUAUUAUGGUGACUAAAGUAGUUGAGUAGUUGGCAAAGAAAAUGCAAACUAUAGAAAUCAUACCUCACGCGAUUGUUUGUUUGCAUUGAGCUCCUUAAUGUUGGCCAAAAAUGCAGCAAACUGUUCAUAAGAGAGAUGGGUCCUGGAAUGUAUUACCAGAAAAAUAGUAAGCAAAUUACAUCGGCAUGCUUUUAGAAAAUGCAUCGUGCAAUUACCAACCUAGCUUGCCGAAAGAAUUCCUUCCCAUCUAUUCGAGGAUGUCCUAUAAGUAUAACAAUUAGAUUUCAGCGACGAUCAAAUAAACCAAAUAAGCAAUAAGAAUUUCAUAGAUGUAAUAUUAAUUGGUGUAUAGGACCUGAGAAGGAGGGCCUCUUUGGGGGAGAGGUGGGUGCUGAGGAUCAUUGACUCGACGGGUAUCUCUUGAAAUUGUUGACACAUUUCAAGAGAUACAAGAGUGUGAAAGAAGCUAAGAUAAUGUAAGGAUAUUCUUAUACCAUCUUGGGUGACUCCCCGGUUACUACAGAGCCAUUGGUGAGAUCAGCUACACUAUGACUGCUGGAAAUCCCAUCUUCAUUACACACCAUUCACAAAGAGAACAAGCUUAAAACCCAGAAAAUUUUGAGCUAUUCAAGUAAGAGCAGCACUCAACUCUUCAUAGAGGAAGAAGUGUGAGCAAAUGCAUAUGUAAUACUUAAUUAAGAGGUAUAGUACCUUUCCAAGAAGCGACUCGGGUAACAGUAUGAUCAUGGGCCUCAAUAUCAGCUGCUUUUGAUUUUUGCUGCAAAAUGGCAGAAAUAUCAAAUUCAUACUCUCUGCAAAUAGCAGAUGUAGACAAGAGAAAGGAAUCUCAGAUAAGAAGAGAAAUUAAUACAAAAUAAACUAGUCUCACUGUUAGAUUAUCAUCGCUCAAUGAUUGCAUCAGCUGCUUCUUGAAUGUCUCCAACUGCAUAAAUAAAAAACAAUAACGAGCAAUAUUACUAUACUAGUCAUCUUCAGUUGAAGAAAAAGAAUGAACUUUAAAUUCAUCCAAAUUGAGAAAAGAUAAUGUUACCUCUCAUUUAAUGGAAUGAGUAUUCUCAGCACUCUCAAAGAACCAAAUUUACACCCAAUGAUUAUCACAUAAAAUGGAUAUAGAACUUCUAAUUUAUAGGUUAAAUAUCAACUUAGAUCAGGGAUUUGUUAUCAUUCUGUACCAUGGUACAAAGCAUGCACAUGACAGUGGAUAAAGUUGGCCCCUUGCCACUAGUCAUGGCCAGUAUAAAUUAUAAACAAUGAUGGCUGGUGUUCGCGGCACCUAAACCUCUUUACGCAGAUUCAAUGUUCUAAAGUGAUAAAGCAAAUCUAUAUAUAUAAAAUAUGCUCUCAAAAUACUGAAAUAAUUCCACCUUUCCACUAGAUAAGUUUUAAAAGAGCAUUUUGCUUUAGGACUUGCUCAUUAGGCUCUUAGAGGAAUUUUCUUUUAGCCACAGAGAGACAAGACUAUAGCAUGAAUCCCUAUGACUUGCUAGGGAAUACAUCAUAUUUAUCCUUCUCAAGUCAUUCUUAAUCCUUCCCAUUUUUUCUCUCUAUUUCUUACCAAUACUAUUAUUUUCUCUUCUUUAUUCCGCCAAAAGACAAUUCUGCUAUAAAUACAGUUGAAAAAUGCCAAUUCUACUGUAAAUUCAGUCAAAUACUGAUGUUAUACAAGCCAUAAGAUGAACAAUUAUGGAUGAUACAAUAACUAAUACUAAAUACAUCACACUUUACUUCACAUUCAUAUGGCAGAUCACUGUGUCACCAAAUCAACAGCUGAUCAUUCUCUAGAUUUAGUUAAUUUACAUAGGAAGUCAAAUUUUUCUGAUAGCAGUUAAGGGUAUGAGUUCUAACAUUUACGUUCUAAUGCUUGUCAAUAACAUUCUUGAGCUAGUUCUCUACAGCAAGAUAGUUGCUAGUUGUUAGUACACUGGAGUUUCCUCCUCUCACCUACUUUUGCAAAUUUGCCUUCUAAUGCUUCUCACGAAAUUCGCAACCUAGUAUGCUUUUAGGAACUAAAUUACUUCAAAUGAACACAGCAUAAUACAUUUAUAAUCUACAUCCUUCUUUCUAACAAGCUUCACAUUAAUCCUUGUAUAUCAAUUCCAACUUUGAGGCUUAAGGUCAUGCAUCUUACAACUUAUCUUCAAGAUCUAAAUGUGUAGAAUUUAGAUGUUGUUCUAAACAAAAAAGUUCAACAGUUCAUUAUAUAAAGGACCUAAUGUAAGAAUCAAAAUCUCCGAGUUCAAAUGUUGCAACACAAUAAGGAAGAAAUAGAAAUAAAGCUAUUUAUUGUUAGUUAUAUUCAGCUAAUUGAAGAAAAUAGAAUUUCACAUCUUUUAACCCCUUUAAACCUACAGAUUUUCAACAUUUAAAGAUCCAAGAUGGUGCAUGCAAUUUUAUUCCAAAACUCUUUCGCGUAACAGUUAGAUAAGCAUAAUCUGAUGAUCAUUAAUAGCAAGGCAAUUUAAUAAAAAAGGUUAUCGUUACUAGCCACAUACAUCACAAAGCAAAAUAUAUGCCUUUGUUCAACAAAGUUCGCCUCUGACAAUGGUCCCAACAAUCCAAUCAGCAAUUUUGGAAGCGUUUUACCUUCUCUAAAAGCAUAUGAAUCACUAAAAACUUACUCAAAGAUCAUCUAUAAGCCUUAAUUUGUUAUCGAAACAAGCGAUUCAUGCACAAAGAGAUUCUUACAAGAAAUUACACCCUAAAUCCUCAUGAACAAGAAACCCUACCAUCGAUCGAGCUCACGUUCUUCUCCGUCUUCUCUUUUCGCGCCUUCGACGCCGCCACAAGCACAGUCAGAAAGUGGUCACCGGACUCUUUCCCCACCACCAUCGCCGCCUCGACGUUUGCUGCUCACUCCCCCGGCGACCGUUGAGUCUCGUACCCAUAUACGGUCCGCAAAAGUGCUCACGGUCGAACUCCGGCCGCAGCUACAGCGGAGGAGGAGGAGAGCGAGGGCCUCUCAAGGGUUUCGGGUGGUCGGGUGAGGGGAGAAGAGGGAUACGACCUAGGAGAGCGAGACCCCCUUUUGUUUUCUCUCUUUUUUUCUUUUUUUUUUUUGGUAAUUGAGGUUUUUAUUUGGGCCUUUUUAUUUUAUUUUUUCUAAUUUUUAGUUUUUGAACAUAUUGUGGGACACUUGUACUAAAGUGUCCCAAGAAAGUGUCUCUACAACCUAGUUUUGUUAUAGUGUCUACUUGCAUGAGUUAUAGGAAUUGUAUAAUAUUCAUAUUGCAUAUUGUGAGGCAUGUUAUCUGUUAGUUGCAUCAUAACAUGAUGAUAUAUAUAUCGGUAGAUGUUUUUGGAUUAACAUGAUUGCAGUGCCUCCUUGGACCUAUUGGUCGAGCUUUUUUCUUGGGUGGCCAUACCCACUGGGAACAAUAGAGUUCGUUCUCACCCCACGUUGUUUUGGGGUGUUACAAGUUCACACAUGAGUGGCGCGGCGGUGCGAAGCAAGGGUGUAGCUCCGUAGAUAGCGCCCUAUCCAAAGACCAGAGAUAGCAAUACCCCGAAUCGGCAUAGCCUAGGGGUAGAGGGAAAAGAAAAAGAACAAGUUGUAAUAAAUUCUAAGAUCUUGAUUGUAUUUGGAAGUUGAUUGUAAAAGGGAAUUGUUAUGUAAAAAUGUAUCUAGUGUGAAUGCUUGUAAUAGCAAGUAGAUUUAUAUUUUUGAUACUUUCUUAUAUAAUCUUUGGUUGAAAUGUGUUCCUAGUUGGAACUUCGUACAUUGUAUUGAUUGCGAUGCCUUGGACGUACAGGGGAGACUCUGUCCGCAGUACAGGGGAAACCUUAUCUGUUCGGCGGUCUGUUUGCGUGCCCGAACCCGACCAAAUAGGCGGGGCAUGGGGUGUGACACCAACAAUGGCUCAAGUGGCCAGGCGGCAAAAAUCCUUUACUUGACAUCACUCGACUCAGUCUUGAGUCAAUCAUCCAUAGCUUACCACCUUUACUUGACUUAGCCACCUAACAGUGAAAUCGUCGCACACCCCAACAAUGGCUCAAGUCGCCAGGCGGUGUAAUCUUUUACCUGACUUAGCCACCUGACGGCAAAAUCGUCACACACGUCAACAAUGGCUCAAAUCACUGGGCGGCGAAAUCAUCGUACACGCCCCAGGUAUCAAGUCUACGGCGGCGAAAUCGUCGCACGUGCCUAAGCUCCGAUACCAAGAUCACCAAGAUUACUAGAUGUGCACAUCCCUCUAUUUCCAAGUCAACCUUUCCAGGUUCAUGUACUUAUAUCCAAGUUGUCAUCCUACCACUAUAUUUCAUAACCUAGAUUACUAGGUUCUAUAUCCUUCCCACCUAGGUUUACUUGACUCUAGAUUCAAUGACAUUCCAAUACAAGUGGUCUUCCUACUACUAUAUUUUUCAAUCUAUAUUCACUGACACUAGGUUUAAUGCACAAUCAUGUUCUUUAUUUAUCCUAGUUGUUUACACCUAGGAUUCAUAAUUUCAUGACAUCUAGUCCUUGUUGAGUUCACUAAUGUCCCUAGUAAAAUUCAACCUGUGUUCAAUAUCCACACCGAGACAUACAUCUAUAUAUAUACUUAUAUAUCUCACAUGCCUACUAUUCUUAUCUAAUAGCGGCUAAUUUUUCUAGUAAUAUAUGAUUCACACAUUCGUAUUUAUCAAUUAACCUAUCAUUAUAUGCAUCAAGUAAACAAAAAUUAAAUUUUACUUUUUGGCAAGAAAGUGACCUAAUCACUUCUGUGAAGAACAACUUACCUUGUGGUGCCCCCAAUUGCGAACUUACCUUGUGUCACGCCCCGAGCUCGAUCCUUUUGGCUGGUUCGAGUGCGCCGAACAGACGUCGAACGGACAGAGCCUCCCCUGUCCGCCCGAGGCUCAACAACAGGUCCAGAUAGAGUAUAAAAUUUGCACUUGCGGAAGCAUACAUAAUGGCUUGCAUGAGGGCAAGCAAUAGCCAAUGUGAAAGUGCUAACUAAUCAAUAUACAAGUACUAUGAUUAAAUUUAAAUCACAUACAUGCAUUCAACUUCGAAGUUCUUUUACAGUCUUUGCAUCAUUUCUUUUGUACAUCUCAAAUCUCCAAAAUAAACCUUUGCAUUUAACAUCAUAAAGUAUCUUUAAUACAUUUGCUCUAACAUCCCUAAUCAUCGUCCAAGUACAAAAGAUGAUAUAUAUAUUUAUAAAAGGGGUUUGCAACUACAAAAUGUAAAGUAUCUCGGGCGGUCUUUGUCUAGGGCGCAAUACCCUUACCGCGAUCGUCUGCCGGCUCGCUCGGUCCCGGCUCUGUGAAAAAUAAGGUGUGAGAACUACAACAAAGUUUUCAGUGGGUUCGGCAACCAACCACGCCGACUUUCCCACUAGGUCUAAAUCAGGCAUAAUAGAAGAAAAGAGAUAUAGAUAGUAACCAAACUAUACAAAUGCAGCUAUAUGCCUGAACAAUAAUCAAUGCAAUGCUCAAUAGUAUACUUAUGAUGAAUGCUAGAUCGCAAUCUCAUUGCCCAAUCUCUUCGCUAAUCCGUAGGUUUCGCCCUCAACAACUCAUCAACCAAAUCCUUACUAUCGGGGAGAUACCCGCUACAACCCGACGGGACCGUCCUCUGGGGAGAUACUCGCUACGACUCAGUGAUGACAACUCCGGAGCACAUCGCCCGAGGGGGAGCUACCACCCUCGAGUAAGGACUUACAGGUGAGUGUGAUCCAAUCCUUAACUAUAAGGAUGUCAAGUUCAAUCCAUUCCUUAACUAUAAGGAAAUCAUGCACAUAUGACCCUUAACUCUAAGGUUGUUAUGUCAUAAUGUCGCUAUCUCUAUUUACUUGCAUUCUUUAACCUUUACUAGUGUCAUAUACACUACUUCGUUCUUGUACUCAUUCAUUAAUGCCACACUUGUUUUCUAAGUAUUCAACUCUAGCAUUUCUUGACUCGUCGAUGCCACUCUCUACAAUUAUGUCAACAUGUCACUUUUGUUCUCUAUGUCACUAAGUCCUUUAGCUUUGCUAGGUUCUUAUCAUUAUACAUGCAUACAUAGGGUUAUACCAUUUCUUGCUCUUAUACUAUGAUUACUCAUGCAUUUAUACUCAUAGCAUUCCAAUAAAACUCACAAGUACUCUAUUAUGCAAAAUAGCCAACAUUCACUUAUGCUCAAAAAUAACAUUUUAGACAUAAGAGGAAUUUCGAGGUCCUCGGUAUGCACCACUCACCUUAGAUGGUGUAAUACACUGGAUCUUAGCAAAUUGCAAGAUUCGAGUGUUUGAUCUGUGUGUGGAGCCUUUCCACAGUUUUUGGAUGGUCGUUGAUAGUGUUCCGACCCCUGGCACGCACCCCGAGGAUGUUGGUUUGAAGCUUGGUACCAAAAUCCCAAAAUUAGAAUUUUUGGUCAGCUGUCGGGUAGCCUGCAGCAGGGCUUGUACCGGAACAAGACUGACCCUGUACCGGUACAAGGAUUGAUGGUUGUACCGGUACAGCCAUCGGGCUUGUACCGGUACAGAGCCGCAGACCGCGCGACCCGAGCCUCGGGUUUGCAUUUUCGUCAGCCUUGUACCGGUACAAGAGCCCGUGUACCGGUACAAGGAGGCAGAUUUCGUGCAGUUUGGUCUGCAGGGGGUUUUUCGCGAUUGUGGGCUUUUUAUAACAGCACCUACGCCCCUUAGGGCUUUUUUUGUGCUGGAACCAGAGGAGGGGAAGGUGAGUGAAGCCCCACCUUGUCCCAUUUGAUUUUGAUCUCCAUUUUGCUUGGUUUUUGAUGGAUUUUCUCCUCUUUUGCCCUUUGGUGCCAUUUCCACCAUGGAUGAAGCCUCAAGCUUGGAUUUGGAGCUAAGUGGAGGAUAGAUCUUGGGAUUUAAAGGAUUUAGAGCUUGAUUUGAAGCUUCUAAGAGGUAAGCAUUAUAUUAUCUUCCUCUAGAUUUGAAUUUUAUUGGAGAUUUUGAGAUGAAACCCUAGGAUGAGGUUUUAGGGCUAAUAUUGGGCAUUUUGAAUCUAGGGCUUUUGGAGCUAGAUUGAGUGGAUUAGAGGCUUCCAUUAGGUUGGAUUGGAUGAGCCCUAGCUUCAUUUCGGAGCUUUAGAGGAGAUUUUGCACUAGAGGUGAGUUUUCCUCACCUAUGCUUGAUUAGCUUAAUGAUUGAGCUAAGUUUUGUUCAUUUGGCACGUUUGACACAUGUUUCUAUACCUCUAGGGUACUAGGAGACUAGAGGACACCCUCGUUGGAGCGCACGAGGAGUUUCGUUGUCAUCGGUGGGUUUGGCUUCGUGGAAAUGGGGCGAAAUGGCCCCUAUGCUCUUUCUACUUGUUGUAAAUUAUUUUUAAGUUCAUUUUUAUGCUAAAUGGGAUUUAUAUGAAUUUUAGAGCACUUAAAAUGCAUGCCUUGUGUAUUAUGAAAAUUUCCCUAUAUAGUAGAGCUAUAUGAGUAGAAUGCUUGCAUACGGAAAAAGUGUCUAUUUUGCAAGUGAAAAAUACAUCUCUUAUGAGGAUUAUGACUUGGAAUAUGUACCUUGGAACAUAGUUGCCAUGUUUUGACAUAGAGAUCAAGAGUGUCAUAAAGGGGCACUUGAAACUAGUAAACUAUGAAACUGCAAUAUAGAGACAUAUUGAUAGGCCACUACAUAUCUGCUAUAUUCCAUGUUAGAGACAUGAUGACAUAGGGAUAGGCCAUUGAGAUACUUGGCACAUUCCAUGUUAUUAUGACAUGAGGACUUGGUACUUGCGACAGAUCGUUUGAUUUCUUGCCAUUGUGCUCAUUCGCACAUGCUUGUGAGGGUCGCUCCCUACAAGCCGGCACUCCGGAGAUGGCCAUCGCGAUUCAUAUUCGCUGUGCGGGAUUGGGCGCCGAAGUGGAUUGCCGUGGGCUAGGCUCAUUCCUAGGGUGGGGAUGAUGACUACCACGAGGCCAUUAGGCUCGGCACCGGCCAGACAGCCUACGGGUGGGUCUCAGGGCCAUAGACAGCCUUCGGGUGGGUCUCUUCAGAUUGGACUUUAUAUAUCCAUUAUGACAUGUGGACAGAUGAUGACUUAGUGUACUACUUGGACAUUGAUUAGAAUAGUAAACAACGGAACUUUACUAUUUCACAUUGUGAACAUCAUGAUAGUUGGAGACACUUACUUUAUGCAUAGUUGCUUUCAUACUUAUGCUAUUCAUGCUAAGUAGAGAUAUCAUGUCGUAGUAGGUUACAUAUUUACUUACCUGUCGCCUUUCUACUUUUAUAGUCACUGACAUCUUUUGUAGCUUUGGGCCUUGUGGUGCAUUCACUGAAGUCAGUAAUUGCCCACUGGGAACUAUUUUUAAUAGUUCUCAUGCCCUCGUUUUGUGGUUUACUUUUCAGAGCCUUCGGCACCGGCGGAGGCACGAGAUCGCGGCAAGGGUGUCGCGUAGCUAGCUCGGGAGAGUUUCUUUUGCGCUAGGUGGUUACUUCUUCUCCAUUUUAUAUUUUGGGAGAGAGGGAGAGGUUUUGUACCCUGUAUAGAGAGACCACCGUGUACUCUUUUUAGCACUUGUUAUGGGAUCCCUCUUGUACUUACUUUAUGUUUUAUUUAGUGGAUUUACAGUUUUAACUUUAUCCCUGGUUGUAGCAUUUAGACUUUUAUUAUGCUCUGAUACUACUAGACGUCUUGUUUUAUUGCUGUUAUUAUUGUUGUUUUUAGACGCCUUAUAUGUUGUAGACAUAUGGCGGGUCUGGGCACGCGCCGGGCGGGCUUCCGCUGGGUCCCGGGGCGUGACAGAUGGUUGAGAGGAUGCUACGGUGAAUUUCUUAGGAUUUUUGAAGCUCUAUUUUAUCGCCUACGGCAAAACGAAGCCAAAUUAGAUUUAAUACUUAGAACUCCUACAUAGGCUUUUCGUAACGUUAAACCGAGUUGCCCAAUGUAUCGGAAAUACCCCCAAUUAGGUUUCUAUAAGGUCAAUUUAUCUUAAAAACUCCCUAGGGCAAAAGCCCCAAAUUUGGUGCCCUAACAAUACCAUUUGCUCAAACCUAGAUUUUGAUCUCUAAAACAAGCAAAAGAGAGCUUGUCCAACAUCUAGAAGCUCAUUUGGAACCAUCUAACCAUUUCUAGGGCAUAAUAAGUAAACUCUAGGAAUUCACGAUUAGAGCACAUGAAGAAAACUAGGGUUUUUAUAUGUUCUAAGGCAUUACUAGAUUUCUAUACAUGAGAGAAGAUCAAUGUCACGCCCCGAACCCGAUCCUAUUUGGCCGGUUCGGGAGUGUGAUACAGAUGCCGAGCGGACAGAGCCUCCCCUGUCUGCCCAAGGCCCAACAACAGGUACAGAUAGAGUGUAGACAUUGCAUAAGCGAAAACAUACACAAGGGCUUGCACGAGGGCAAGCAAUAGCCAAGAGCGAAAGUAAACAACUACACUUAUAGAAUCUAUUACAACUUCGCAUCAUUUCUUUUCUGUUACACCACAGGAUCUCAAAAUCUCAUUCUUGUAUUCAAAUAUAAUCUUUUACAUCAUACAAGUCCUUUUUCCCUUAACAAGUAAAUCAUCAAAGUACAAAAGAUGACAUAUAACAGAAGGGGUAUGCAACCAAAUAGAUAAACGUCUCGGGCGGUCUCUCCCUAGGAUGCGAUGCCCUUACCGCGAUCGUCUGCCGGCUCGCUGGGUCCCGGCUCUGUGGAAAUAGGGGUGUGAGAACUACAACAAAGUUCUCAGUGGGUUCCUCAACCAACCACGCCGACUAUCCCACUAGGUCUAAUCAGGCAUAAUAGAAUAAAGGAAGGUAAGUAACCAACUAGCAAAUGCACUAAUAUGCCUGAACAACAUAAAAUGAUAUGCACAAUAUAAUGCUCAUGAUGAAUGCAAGGUCAUAGUGUCAAUACCCAAUCUCUUGGCUAACCCGUAGGUUUCGCCCUCAACAAACUCACCAACUCAAAAUCCCAAUAAUCGGGGAGAUACCCGCUACAACCCGAUGGGACCGUCCUCUGGGGAGAUACCCGCUACAACCCAGUGAUGUCGACUCCGGAGCACAUCUCCCGAGGGGGAGCUACCACAACCUCGAGCAAGGACUAAAGUGAGUACGAUCAAUCCUACAUUUGAGGAUUCCAAGUUCAAUCCAUUCCUUAACUUUAGUUAAGAAAGACUAUGCUCAAAUACCUCAACACUAAGGUUGAAUGUCAUAUAUCUCAAUCGGUCUUGUUCUGCAUUCUUUACUUAUCUCUAAUGUCAUAUACACACAAGUUCUUGAACUCAGGACACACUUGUUCUCUAAGUGGCUAGAUUCUUGUCCUCAUGUCAAAUGCCACACUUGUUUACUAAGGAUUCUAGAUUCGUCGAUGUCACUGCUAGAUCUAUGUCAAAGCGUCACUUUUCGUUUACUAACCCUUCUAGGUUCUCUUGUCACAAUCANNNNNNNNNNNNNNNNNNNNNNNNNNNNNNNNNNNNNNNNNNNNNNNNNNNNNNNNNNNNNNNNNNNNNNNNNNNNNNNNNNNNNNNNNNNNNNNNNNNNAUUAUUUAUGUUUUAAAAAAAUAUUCUUAAAAAAUAAUGUAUUUACAAAAAAGGUUCAAAAUACAAAUAAGUUAGUACUCUCAUUUCUAAUGUAUUUGAAACUUUUGAAUUUUGUUUUGAAUUGUGAUUGAUAUUUUUUAUUUUUAUAAUUAAUAUUGUUAAAUUAUAUAUAUAAUAAUAUUAUUAAAAAUUAUUAAUUUAUAAUUUAUAAAAUAUUAAUAAUAUUAUAAUUUUAUAAAAAAUAUUAGUUGGCGGAGCAGAUUCAGGGCGCCGGUGGGAGGCAGGUUGUCACCCCCCGAGCCCGCCUAUUUGGUCGGUUUUAGGCACGCCAACAGACCGCCGAACGGACAGGGUUUUCCUUGUACCGCGGACAGGGUCUCCCCUGUACGUCCAAGGCGUCACAAUCCAUACAAUGCGUGAUAUUCCAACCAGGAACAGCAUACAAACAUAGAUUGCAUAAGGAAAGUAUCGAAAAUAUAAACAACUAAGUUAUUACAUGCAUUCAACUCACUUAUUACAUUUUACAUCACAUAUCACAUUCUUUAAGUCUCUUUUUAGCUUCCAAAUACAAUCAAGUUUCCAACAUAAUUAUUACAACAUUGUUCUUUCCAUCACUAAACCCCUAAGCUAAGCCGACUUAGGGUACCGCUAUCUCUCUGGUCUCGGUGGUAGAGCGCUAACUAUGGAGCUACGCCCUCGCCUCGCGCCGCCGCGCCGCUCACGUGUGAACCUGUACCCCUAAAAACAACAUGGGGGUGAGAACUAUUGUCCAUAGUUCCCAAUGGGUACGGCCACCCAAGGAAAAAGCUCAACCCACCAGGUCCAAAUGAGGCACUGCAACAUGUUAGUCCAACAGAUAUCCACAAAUAUUCAAUGUAAAUAUUAAAUAUAUGUUUAUGCCUCAAGACAUGCAAUAUGCAAAUCAUGCAACUCAUGCAAGUAGAUUAAAUGAUUCUACCCUCUAUCAUUUUUCAUUCAUUAUGAUAUUAGCAAUUCUUUAUCACUUAUCAUUCUUUACGACUUGCAACUCUUUAUUCUUUGACAUUCUUUAUUAUUUGCUCAAAUGUCAUUCUUUCCUAAGAUUUCAUUUACCUUAGCCAACUAUGUCACUCGACUCGAUCUUGAGUCAAUUCGUGAUGAAUACAAGAUCCACUUUCCAAUUCUGGGUCCUUUUGGCUAACCCAUAGGUUUCGCCUCAACUCUCAAUCUGAUAGCUAACCCAUCAGGCCCUCAGCUUCCUCCCUUAGGGUUCCAUAACUCACCAACUCAAAUCCCAAAUAACGAGCCAUCAGCUUCCUCCCGUUGGGACCGUCUUCUGGGGAUUCCCCUUCCCAAUGAUGACAGCUCCGGAGCUCAUCGCUCAAGAGGGAGCGACCUCCCUCAAGCCAAGACUAUAGGCGAGUAUGAUCAAUCCUUAACUUUAAGGAUUCCAAUGCUCAUAUAACCCUUAACUUUAAGGUUGCUAUGUCAUAAUGUCAACUAUCUCUUUUUACUUGCAAUCUUUAACUUGCAUUAGUGUCAUUCACACUACUUGUUCUUUAUACUCAUUUUCAUGCCACACUAAGUGUUCAUUAAUGACACACUUGUAAUCUAGCAUUGUUGUCCCAUUGAUGUCACUAUUGUAACACUAGUAUUCAAGACUCAUCAAUGCCACUCUCUACAUUUAUGUCAACAUUUCACUUUGUUUCUAAGUUCUCAUUGUUAUGUAAAUGCCACAAUGUCACAAUUGCACAUGCAUAUACUUUUUAGUACAUUUUACAACUUGCCAACAUGCAUAAUUUCAUCCAGCAUACUCCACAAUGCCAACAUGCAUAUUCCAUUUAUCAUAUUCCACAAUAUGUCUAUAUACAUAUACCAACUAGCAUAUUUCCAUAAUGUUAUCAUUCAUAUGCCAUCCAUCAUGUACCAGGAUUUAUCAACAUGCAUAUUAGCUCUAACAUAUACUAACAAUAUGUCAACAUGCAUCUAUCCUUUAGUUCUCCAAUGGUAGUCAAUACAUGCAGUAUAUAUCUCAUGCUUUCAACUAGCAUCAAUCACAUGCAUUUAUGUCCACAAUUACAACCACUAUAUGCAUCAAUUAUGAACCACACUUUACUUUGACAUGGAAGUGAGCUAGAUAUUUUGGUGAGCACAACCCACCUCAAAUCGCUUUUUGAUUGCUUGUAGUCACUUGCAAUCGGCCUCCCACGGCACACGUGACCCGGUUCGGCUCGAACUCGCACUCAACCACCUAACGGCCACCAAUCCGCAAUCCGAAAAUUAAUAGUCUAUAGCUUGAUGCCACGAUGCUUCGAAUCCGUUCUCGUGAUUUUUGGACGUCGCCUUGGCCCUCUAGGCGGAAACGAAGCCGAAACGUCCGUUUCUUCAAUAUCUUCGCAUAGGCUCGACGAAUCGCCUAACCGACUUCGCCAACGCGUUCGUAUACCUAGCAAUUAGGUUUACAUAGGGUUAAUUUAGAUCAAACCCUUAUAUUUUGCAAAAACCUAUUUUUGAGCCCUAAGAUGUACUAUUAUUGUAAGAAAUCAUCACAUAAUCUCUUAAUUCAUGCAAUAGUCAUCCAUUUAGCAUCUAUGGGUUCCUCUAAAUCCAAUUCUAGGGCAUAUAAUUCAAAACCUAGAAAUCCACCAUUUUAAACCUAGCCUCUACACAUGCUCCAAAUAACCCAAAUUAAGGAUUUAACAUGCUAACAACACAUUAGAGACUAUUAGAACACUUAAGUAUAAGGAUUAAACCAAAUCCCAAAAGCUUACCAAAAUGUGAACGCCGAGACGGAAGCACGCCGCUCAACCGGGCGCACGAAGGCCCGAUCCGACGCUCCCAACGCGUUCGCAAGCUCGCUCUCCGCCAACGCCGCGAAUUUGAGAGAGAGAUCUAGAGAGAUGAAGGAGAAAUCUAGAGAGAGAAAGGGAGGGUUUCUCUCUCUUCCUCUCCAUACGUGUGUGUGUUUUGUGGGGGUGGUGGUGGUCGGCUGAGGAAGGAGAAGAAAAGGGUCAAAAUCCUUUUUAUAAAUAACUCCUCAACACUAUUCAACUUUCAGCUCAGGUACAGAUAUUUUUCGCCUGCCCUUCUGAAUGUCCGUUUGGGCUCAAAUUUGACAGUUAGGCUCGGUUUUACUUAACUUGACGAAAGAAAUUUUAAUCUUUUAGUUUCGACCUUGUUUAGUCACCGAAAGCUCUACCGAACUGUAAUCUCUAGCAGAUAGCAGUCGGAUUUUAUUUUUCACCUUCCGGGUGUCAGAAUGAUAUGAAACUUUAAAUCUAGCCUCAUAAAAAUAAUUCUGACAUAUUCUCCAGUUUUCAUAAUUUUCUGACACUGUGCAUUUUCUGCUAAAAUAUAAGCCCCGUUUCUCAUAGAAAAUUCUAAAUUUCUGUUUUCAUUCCGAUUUCAGUACAAGUCACUUCUGACUUAUAUUUUACUUCUCUAAAUCCAAUAAAAAUAGCAUCUUACACUAUUUUUAUUUAUUUUUACUUUUAUAUCAAAAUCCGGUAUGUUACAUUCUCCACCCCUUAAAAAGAAUUUCCUCCGCGAAAUUCAAACCACACCUCAAUUUAGCUCCUCGAGCAAUUGAGGGCACCAAUGCACUUUCCCACUGUGGAAUGGCCUCAUGUUCAUCGGAACGAUUCAAAGGCCCGCUACGAAGGAUACGAAAUCAAACGCAUACACGUUUACAAGGCGCAGCACAUAAAGUGCGUUACGGCCUCCAUGAUUCUCGGUGGCAGCGCAAGUCGAAACGAAACGACACUACGCAGUCCAACACUUCGUGCCACUCGGCACCCAAGGCACUCUUCCUUGUAUUUACCUUCCCCUCAAAGAAUACAUUCCGAUUCGAUCACCAAUAUUGCUUAGAAGCAAUAUCACCAGUGCAUCGCUCUAUCGUGAGUGCUCCAAUUCCGCACUGACCCUUAGCUCUAACGUGAGAUGGCCCACCUCGGCGCAUCCCAAUUCCAAUCCUCAAACUCCACGUGGCUUGCCACUAGCUCAAGGUCUCACCAAGAGCACUUCAUCUUCUGAUACCACACGCCACGGUCAACGUCAAAUUACCUUCGCAAUGAGCUCACACGAACCCUCCGUUCGUGAAUCCAAGUCAAGCUCCUCGAUAAGGCUAUCCGCCAAAUAGCUUUCCUUAAUUUCACAGGUGGCCCACAGACGGCCAACACUACAUAGGCCCACAGCCUAAACCUAUCUCAAUACGCAGCGUCUAUCGCUCGCAAACGCAGACCCAAUCAUCAUUAGGGUGAAAUUCUCACUUGGGAAUUCGCACACACUCCAACCAGGAGCAACUAAAAUCCCAAACCGUUACAAAUCCUCGGGUUGGGUCACAAUCGUACUCUCGGUAUACUAUCAAUCGCACGACACGCUCUACCGAGCCACACGUACCACUAUCGGCUCCUAUGCACCUAGUGCGAGUCACCAGCCCUACGAGUGAUCCCUGGCAUACCUCACACCUAGCAAAGCUCCAGUGCUACUGCCAACUCACUCACUCGGCCGAACCCAGUUCGCACUCCAUGAGUAACUACACUCAAACGUCACACGCCUCUAUAGCGCUCCACACUAAGUCCAGCAUUAGGCAACUCUUGCCUACGCACGCCAACUUUACGAGCACGACCCUCCUACCUCACAUCGAGGUACUACUAGGCGCACAAGCCAAACUUGGCAUUAAUCAACUAAUUCCGCAACAGUGAUUCUACUUUCACUGUUCGAUCUACCGGAAUGACAUCCGAAAUUUUCGAAUUACUCGGGUGUCCUCAAAUAUCAUGGCUCAACUCUCGCAAUCUACUAAUUAAGUUGCUCUGAGAGUCGCUUAACCAUUUCCAUCUCUACCAUGAGUCUCACCAUUUCUCACCAUAGAUCACCACUAGCACUUCGCUAGUGCCAUCUGGCUUUAUACCUGCACUGGCAGGUACUACGCUCUCACAACACGAGCAUGCCCGGAUAUCUAUACUUACCCGUCCACUCAGUCUCUACUAUGCUCAUGUAUAACAAUAGUAAUUAACCACAUAACCAUUGCAUGCAAUGCACCAACUUCAUGUCAUGCAAAACAUAUGCUUGCAUCAAUAACUCAUACCUGCAACGACGUCGUCAACAGUAGGGUCCUCAACCUGGGUCGCGUAUCUACGGCCACCCGGCGCUCGCCGCGAACCCUUAGGUUUGAAAGUUUUGAGGAGCCCAAGGAUCUCUCUAGAUUGUAUCUAUCACCUAGAGGGGGGUGAAUAGGUGAAAUAGCCAAAAACCACAAAUCUCAAUGCGAUAAAAAUAAAUGCGGAAAAUAAAAAUCACACCGAGAUUUACGUGGGAAAACUCCAACUUGGAGAAAAAUCCACGGAACCAACACGCGAAAAAAUAAUUCACUAAGAGAAAAGAUUACAAGCUGAUUACCGACUCCAUGGACUCAACCUUUCUUAACCUCCUAUGAAUCUAGCGCAAUCCUCCGGGUUGUCCACGCCCUCACGUUCGAAUCCACGAAGCUUCAAUCCACGAAGCUUCAAUCACUUCGAAUCCACGAAGCUUCAAUCACGCCGAAUCCACGACGCCACUCGAAUCCACGAGCCCACGAUCCGAAUCCACGAACCGCCUUCGUUCACGCCGAAUCCACGACGUCGUUCAUGAAGAGCAUCAUGAUUAUGGUGAUCCUUCGCUUAGGAGUAUCGUAGAAAACCAGGGAAUAGAACUUCAAGCGAAGCGGAGAUCAAAUCGACAUAUAGAUAUAAAAAUCCGAUAUCUUGAUUUGACCUAAAAGAGGCUUUAUGUACAAAAUAGGUUUUAGAUGAAAUCCGAGCCUCUAGGGUUUCUCAAACAUGUACUUUCGUGAUGCUUGAUAUGUUAGAGAAGCCCAAUAGCUUAUUUGUAGACUUUAGAAUCAAACGGAGUCGGAUUAGAAAGUUUUCACGAUUUUAUACUGUGUACCGGUACGCGAAAAGCUGUCACCGGUUACACAAUGACGGAACGAAAAAUUGCAUUGCCAAUGUUGAUGGCUGUACCGGUACAGGGCAAUUGCUGUACCGGUACACAAUGCAAUUUUUUGGAUUUUGCACUGUUUUGGGUUCCGCAAAGUUCCGAGGCACUUUCUAAUCCAUUAAACUAUAUGUUUAUGAUUCUAAUGCCUAUAACUAAGUAUGAAUUAUCAUAACAUGAAUUAAAACUUUACCUUUACAUCGUGAUUCACAUUGUGAGCUACUUUCCAAAAUCUUCGAAAUCUUGAAUUCUUCAAUCUUCGUCAAUCCGCUUCGAUCCUUCAAGACUCCGACUCACUUCACGAAACUUGCCAAUACAAAAUCAUUAACAAUCUCCCCCUUUGGCAAUUUCGUGACAAAACUCACAAAACUCAAAAACACAUAAAAGAUUCGAAGUUCAAUUGUCAUCACCAAACUCCUCGCGUGUAAUCCAAAUACAAUUUGAGAUUCAAAAUUACAUCAAAAACUCCUAAAACAGACUCUAUGACUUAGACGCAACUAGGAGUCUUGAAGUCUUGAUUUCCUGCAAAAUAAUUCAUUCAAAAAUGAUUAACCUUAAAUUCUUAUACCUUCUCCCCCUUUGUUCACAUCUCGAUCACAUCUCCCCCUUUGUUCUUGAACUCAUCAUCCUCUGCUUAGUUCAAUACCUAUCAUCUAUGCUCUCCACCUGUUCAUCUUCGCUCUCCCCCUUUUUGUCAAAAAUUGCCAAAAUGAAAGCAAAUAGAGAGGAAACAUACUAAAAAGUAGUCAAGUCCUAAUUACAGGCCUAAAACAAAAGUAAAAACAUGCCAAAGAAAGAUAAGCAAGAAAAACUAAACUAAAACAUCAUCCUAUCAUCCUAAGCUCGACGAACGAUCUCAUAUUUCAAAAAAUUUGCUUUAAAAAUCCAUCAAAUUAAAUUAAUUUCAAAUAAAUUAAGAAUUUUACUCCAAAAAUCAUUGUAAUGAGAAUAAGAUAUUAUAAAAUUUCAAAAUAUAUCGAAACAUCGACAUUUCAUUACCAAAAAAUGAUCUCAAGUUUCAAAAUCAUCAAGAUGUAACGAUUCACGAAAAAUGAUUUUAGAAAUUCGACAAAAUUGACACCAAUUUAUCGCAAUCCGUUCAAAAUAGAGAUUUAACUAAUAUGAUACCGAGGGUGGCUCUUUGAGCAUCUUUUUCAAACUAACACCUUAUUACUCCGAAAAAUUCUAAAAUAUUCAAAUUUUUUUCACCUUUUUUUUUCGGUUAAUCGAUUCAAUCUUCAUGUGGUAGCUUCACACACUUGCCGGACGACCGGGGUGGUAGCUCUUUCCUACAUGUGGUGGUAGUUUUCACACUCCUUUUGGAUGUAACUCUUUCCACAUCUUUUUAAACAUAGGAGUUUUCUUCCCUUUUUUUUUAAUAAUUUCAAACUCCCCCUAAAUUAGACAAUCUCACAAUUGAAAAUAUUUUGACAAAUUUAGUCGAUUAGCGAAUAUCCAUUCAUCAUAUUCAACACACACAACCAAGAUGAAAUAAUCACCAAGAGAUCAAAUUUGAUUUCAAAAUUUUGAUGAAUAUAUGCAUUAAGAAAUCAUAUAUUAAAUUAUCGUCAAAAUAAUAAAAACAUCCUCUUAAAAAGAUUUCCUCCCGAAUCAACCACACCUCAAUUUACUCCUCGGCAAUUGAGGGCCACCAAGCCUCCCACUGUGGAAUGGCCUCAUUUCAUUACGAACGAUCAAAGGCCGCGCUACGAAGGAUACGCAAUCAAAGCUACACUACAAGCCAGCACAUAAUGUGCGUUACGGCCUCCAUGAUUCUCUGUGGCAGCGCAUCGAACAAACGACACUAACGCAGUCCAACAACUUCGUGCCACCGCACCCAAGGCACUCUUCCCUUGUAUACCUCCUCAAAAAUACAUUGCCUAUUCGAUCACCAAUAUUGGCUUAGAAGCAAUAUCACCAUGGCAUCGCUCUACUUGCUCGUGAGUGCUCCAAUUCCGCACUGACCCUAGCUCAACGGGAGAUGGCCCACCUCGGCAUCCCAAUUCCAAUCCUCAAACUCCACGUGGCUUGCACUACUCAAGGUUCCAUCCCAAAGAAAGCCACUUCAUCUUCUGAACCCACACGCCACGGUCACGUCAAAUACCGUUCGCAAGACUCACAGCACAGAACGAACCCUCCGUUCGUGAUCCAAGUCGACUCCUCGGGAUAAGGCUAUCCGCCAAAUACUUUCCCUAAUUUCACAGGUGGUCCCACAAGACGGCCAAAACUCAGCAUAGGCCCCAACCUAAACCUAUCCUCAAUUACGCAUAGGCGUCUAUCCUCGGCAAAACGCAGACCCAACAUCCAUUAGGGACAUGCUCACUUGGAAAUCGUACACACUGCCAACCAGGAAGCAACUAAAACCUCAACCGUUUAAAAUCUCGGUGGGUCACAAUCGACCUCGUAUAGCUAUCAAUCGCACAGACACCUCUACCGAGCACACUACCAACUACCCCUCAUGGACCUAUGCGAUCAUCCAGCCCUAACAGUAUCCUGGCAUAACCUCACACCUAGCAAAAGCUCCUAUCGCUACUGAGCUUCGACAUCACUCACUCGCGAAACCCGUUUCGCACUCAUAGUAACUACACCAAUUAACCGUCAACAACGCCUCUAUACGCGCUUCCACACUAAGUCCAUGCCCUUAGGCAACUCUUGCCUACCACGGCCAACGUUACACAGAACCUCCCUACCUCACAUCGAGUACUACUAGGCGCACAAGCCAAACUGGCAUAACAACUAUAUUCGCACGUGAUUCUACUUCAGUUCGAUCUAGCGCGGAAUGACAUCCGAAAUUGUCGAUUACCUCGGUGUCCUCAAUAUCAUGCUCAACUCUCGCAAUCUACUAAUUAAGUUGCCUUAAGCGCUAAACCAUUCCAUCUCGACCAUAGUCUCAACCAUUUGCUCACAUACGAUCAUCCUACUAGCAACUUCGCCUAGUGCAUCUUGCUUGAUACCUUGCACUGCAUGUACUGACCUCCUCACAACACGGAGCAUGCCCGAUCUCUAAUACAUUACGCCGUUCACUCAGUCUCUACUAUGCAUGAUAAGACAUAUAAUUAACACAUAACCAUUGCAUUCAAAUGCACCAACCUUCAUGUCAUGCACAAACAUAUCUGCAAUCAAUAACCAACCUGUCAACACGUUUUUCACCUUCCGGGUGUCAGAAUGGCAUGGAACUUUAAAUCUAGCAUCAUAAAAAUAUUUCUGACAUCUCCGCUAAUUUUCAUAAUUUUCUGACACUAUGCAUUUUCUGCUAAUUUAUCUGCCCCGUUUCUUACAGAAAAUUCUAAAUCUUCUGUUGUCGCUCCGAUUUCAGCACAGGUCAUUCCCAACUUAUAUUUUCACUUCUCUAAAUCCAAUAAAAAUAGUAUCUCAUACUAUUUUUAUUUAUUUUCACUUUUAUAUUUAAAAUUCGGUAUGUUACAUUCCGCCGCAACCUCACCGGAGCCAUUUAAAUGUACACCGUAACUUCAUAGUUUUAGAAGUCCGGUACCUUACAUAUACCCUCAUACUGCUAGCAUGCUCGAGUACCUACUUACCCGACUACUCGGUCCCUACUAUGCAAUGUAGUAAUAGUAGCAACUGACCAACGAUGAAUGCAUGCUAUGCUUCAACUCGAGAUCAUGCAAGAAUAUGCUUGCUCAAUUAACUCAUACCUGCCACGACGACGUCGACAACGGCAGGCCCAGCAACUUGGGUCGCUUAUCCAUGGCCACUUGGCGCUCGCUGCGAACCCUCUGGUUGCAACGUCCUCAAUGGCUGCUCCCCUGACCAUGCCGCAGGUGGCACACCCGCAGGCUGUCCCGGAGAGGAAUAGGUCGUCGCCAGUGUCAAGGCCCGGCUAUCACCUUGCGGACACUCGUCCCGCAUAUGGCCCGGCAGCCCACACUUGGAACACUUGCCCUCUCGCUGUUCACACUGUUGUGGGAAAUGAGGGCCCCCACAAAUCACACAUCUCGCCGAGGACCGAAUGUGAUACGUCCCCGGAGCUCUAGAUCGAGAGCGCGACUUCCCGGAGGUCUGCUGGGAACUCAACUGACCAUCAUGUCCACCCACUGGCCGUCCUUUCCCUCUUUCCUUAUAAUGCUCCUCACGCUUCUCCCGCAGGAAUUCGUUGCCUUGCUCUAUCCACAAGGCCCGAUCCAGGACUUCAGCAAAAGUCUGCAACUUGAGCACCAGCACCGCCUGGUAGAGAUCUGGCCGAAGUCCACGCACGAAGCAGUCAGCCUUGUCCUUGUCAUCCCGCACCACGUUUGGGAUACAAUGCACGAUACGGGAAAACUCCCGCUCGUAUUGCCUGACCGUGCGACUUCCUUGCCGCAGCUUAAGGAACCUUUCCUUGAGCUUCCGCUUCUCGCUAUCGGGGAAAUAAGCAGAGAACACCAAUCCCCGAAAUUCUUCCCACGUCAUAGGAGGGAGACUAGGCAGUCGAUCUCGCUUGACGCCUUUCCACCACACCUUCGCCGACUGUUUAAGAUAAUGCGCGGCUAGGUUUACCUUGUCUCACUCCAACGUGUACAAAUCCUCGAAAAGGGUUUCCAUGGAGUCGAUCCACAUCUCAACGACCCACGGAUCCGUAUCUUCUCUAUCGAAGGUAGGCGGAUCAAAUUUCUUGAAAGCCAUGAAGGCAGCCAAAGCUCGCUCCCUCUCCGCCGCUACCUCUGGACUAAUAGAAGUCGGGUCGCCCGACCCCGAAGGAAACAACUCCGCCGCGACUCCCGGCUGUCCUCGACCAGCCACAGCUGGUGCAGCCACCAGCUGAUCUAGCGUCUCUUGGAGUCUCCUCAUUUGCUUCUCUUGGCGCGUAGCAGCCUUCUGCUGCCGCUACACCACAUCAGCCUGUUGCCUCACCACUCCUACGAGUGUGGCCAAUUGAUCACAAAGCUACGAGUCUCCGCUCGCGUCGGUUUGCUCAGGGACACCACUUGUCCCCUCCCGCGCCGAUCUGGACGAAGAUCGCCUACGCGGUGCCAUCGCUUCCUGAAACAGGACAACUCGAUUAGCUCUCGACCAACUUGGGUCGAACACGAGACCACUAACGCCGGCUUAAAAGCCAAUCAGGCGAAAGUCAAACAAGGGCGUCUAUUCUCGUCACUCGGCUUUAUGUUGUGCAUGCCCAACAUAAACACACUUGGUCGAGAAUAAACCAUACUUUGAGUUUGCCUUUAAUGUCCGUCUUAGAGGUUAUGACACAACCCAAUCCAUUACCUUUCGCCACAACGCAUAAGUCCUCGUCUCUCGCGAGCCUUAUUCUCCUAUGGUUUCACUAUCCUAGGGUCUCCUAGGUCUGUCUAAACCAUUUUCAUCUCAUUUUCUACUUUAUGCUCUGAUACCACUUUAUCUGUCAUGCCCCGCGACCAACCGCCAAUUUGGAUUGGGUCGUGGCGCCGCUAACAGACGGCCGAACGGACCGGGGUUUCCCCUAUACGCGGACAGAGUCUCCCCUGUACGUUCUAGGCGUCGCAAUCAAAACAGAAUACAAGAAUGUUCCAAAUAGGAACGGAUGUCAAUCUCGAUUGCAAAGGAAGUAUCAAAUACAUAAAACUAACGCUAUUACAAGCAUUCAUUAGCCAUUACCUAGUACAUCUUAGUUUCAGAUUACAUUUUUCUUCCAAAUUACAAUCGCAUUUAUUACAUCAUUUAUUUUACAAGUUUGAUACAUUUUGAUUCAUUGCCUUCUAGUCCCCUAAGCUAGACUGCCUUAGGGUACUGCUACCGCGGUCUCUGUGGUAGGGCGCUAUCGACUGAACUACGCCCUCGCCUCACGCCACCGCGCUGCACACGUACAACCUGAAAACACCCCAAAACCACGUGGGGUGAGAACCAACUCCAUGGUUCCCAAUGGGUACGGCCACCCAAGGGAAAAGCUCGACCGAUAGGUCCGAGGAGGCACUGCAACAUGUUAGUUCAACAAUAUACAACAGAUAUAUAUUCAAUUGAAAUACAUGCCAUGCCUCACGAUAUGCGAUAUAGAAAUCAUGCAACUCUAUACAACAUCUAGUAGAUCCAUUGAUUCUACACUUUACUUAGCUACUCUUAGCUCAUAACUUUACUCUAAGGUUUCUAUUACCUUAGGAUCUCAACUCAGUCCACUGGCUUCUAAGGUCUCUAUUACCUUAGCUCAAGCCUCUAUCUCUAGCUCAUAAGGGUUCCUCUACCCUAUCAUAGCUAACCACCCGACUCGGCUUCGAGUCAAUCAUCUGCGGAUAGUCCGCGCACUGGCUGCUCAACAGCCUACCGCACUCUCUCUGACUCAGCCUCCUAGCGGCGAAAUCGUCGCACACGCUGAAUACGGCUCGAGUCACAAGACUUGACCAUCGGUGGCGAUCGCGUUGCACAUACCCAGCGUGAGCUCGAGACAUGACAUACCGUCUGGCGGCGAACGGGUCGCACCACACCCAACAACGAUCAUGUCAGACUCAGUCACCUGGAGGCACCCGCAUCGUACUUACCCAGCAUGGAUUCAGUCUACUCUGGCGGUCUGAUCCUCAAAUGGCUUAACCACUCUGGCGGCGAAAUCGUCGCACAAACGCCAGCACAAUGGUUCAAGCCCCGGGCGGUGAUCUCCAUGUGAUCGCCCCCAAUCUACCCACGGUACCAAGCUCGGCGGCGAAAUCGUCGCACGAACGCCCUAGCCUGUACCAGGGACAUCAUAAGUCCUGGGAUUCCGGAAUCCACUUACCACAGGUCGAGGGUUCAUAGCCAACCCUAUACUGUCGACCUAGCUCAAUCUAGUGGCUAUACCACUAUACUCAUCAACCUAGGUUCCAACACUCUAGGUUCUAUGUCCACAUCACUUAACCUAGAUACACUUGCUAGGUUCUUAUCAUCUUUGCCUAGAUGUCCACUUCUAGGUUUACUAGUUCAACCUAGGUUUACUAACACUAGGUUAGAUGCCACACACCUAGAUUGUUCAACUCUAGGUUUACUAACCAACCUAUGUUCUUUAACACUAGGUUAGAUGCCACUCGAUCUACCUAACAACCUAGUUGUCCAAUCAACUCUGCUCAUACUGGAGUUAUAAUCUAGUUUAUGCAUAUUCUCCUAGCAUAUUCCUUAAUGCCGAUUAUGCAUUCUCACUUAUCAUGCUCAUCAUGCUAUCUACUUAGCAUUUUCAUCUAUGCAUUGUUGUUACUCUGCAUUCUUUACUUAGCCUUUACUUUAUGUAUAUUUACAUUCAUCAUGCAAUACUUAUUCCUUGUCUACAUGCACAUGCAUCAACAUGAGAUUACAUUGCUAAGACAUAAAGGGCGACCUAGUCGCUUCGGUAAGCACAACCCACCUUAAUUAGCUCUUCCGAUUGCUCGUCGACACUUGCAAUCGGCCUCCCGCGGCACUCGGCACCCGUUUGGGCCCGAUCUCACAGUUGCCCUCCAAGAGCGCGCCGCUUUGCCGCUUCAAGUGCUAGCGAUCUUCGCCUUAUCGCUACGGUGCUCGGGACCCGAUUUCACGAUUUAUGGACGUCGCCUCGGCCCCCAAGGCGGAAACGAAGCUCCGAGCGCCCGUUUCUUCAAUAUCUUCGCAACGGCUUGUCGGAUUGCCGAACCGACUUCACCAACGUGUUUCGUUACCUAUCAAUUAGGUUUACAAGGGGUCAAAUGAGAUCAAUCUCACCUAUUUACAAAAACCCUAUUUGGAUGCCCUAGAAUGCCCAUACCAUCAAAUCCACCAAAUCGAGCUAUGAAAUGGGGAAAAUCCAUCUUAAUAACAUGCUAGGGUUCCAAUAAUACCAUUUCUAGGGUUUAAAACCCACUCCCAAAUAAACUAUCAUGAGAAGCCAUGAAACUUACCUCUCAAGGGAGCUCCAAAGCGAGAAGAAGAUGAAGAUGAAGAUGAGGGAGAGGAUCUCCUACUUGGUCCUCUUCACCUUCUCCUUUCCUUUCUCUUUUUCUUCUCCUCUUUUCCUUUCUCUCUUUUCUUCUUUUCCUUCCUUUGCUACGAACAGAGAGAGAGAGGGAGAGAGGCAGUGAGGGAGAAAGAGAGAGAGAGGGAAAUACAUCUCUCUAAUACCCUCUCAUAUUGUAACAAAAUGCUAGGAAGCCCCUCAACUUUUCAUCUCUUACACAGCCUUUACUGGGCUGUCUGUGCGCGGAGGGACCGGUCUCCCCGACCAGAGACCGGUCCCCGAGAGCUCCCCCCGACACCACGCAUUCGGGAACCGGUCUCUCCCUGAGAGACCGGUCCUCGAGAGACCGGUCUGCCCAUCAGAGACCGGUCCCCGAAAGCUCAUCUCGCGGGACUUAGCCAAUUUCUUGCUCUUCUCACUGGUGUCGCAGGCUGGGACCGGUCCCUCCCCUGUAAGGGACCAGUCGCAUCAGCGACCCCGCAGCUUUCAGCUGAUGGGACCGGUCUCUCACCUCCAGAGACCGGUCCCCGAGAGCAACCUCAGCCCAAAAAUGCAGAUUGCAUUACUUGCUCUCGCGAACUCCAUUCCAAUGCACUUCUUGGACUUAGUGCAUCCUAAGCUUUUCCAAAGCUUAUCAACUCGACCCUUGGUCGAUUAUGGACGAAGCACAACUCUCGGAUUUGGAGAAUUCAGGGUAUGACAUAUAUAGAGCCCACCAUUUUUGUAUGUUUAGCACUUAUAUUUGGGUUUUGUUGUUAUGCUACUUUAUGUUUAUGUUAGUGAUUUAGUUCUCUUUUCAUCCUACUUGUUAUUAGAAUCUAGUUGUUGUAUGCUCUGAUGCUCCUAGAUGCACAUUUAUUAUUGUUUUAUUUAUUGCUUUGUUGUAGACGCCUUAUAUGUUGUAGGCAUAUGGCGGGUCUGGACACGCACCGGACAGGCUUCCGCUAGGUCUCGGGGCGUGACAUUCACUAUGCCAUAAGUGUUGUCGCUACAUAACAUCAAGUUCAUCUCUUAUUCCGGCACUAUAGGAUUUCCAAUGUUAAGACCCAAUCCUUACAUAUCCACUAUAUCAUGUGUCUAUCUCACAAUAUGAUAUCAACUAGGAAAGCACAUAAGGAAUGGAAAUACAACAACUACAAUCCUACAAUGCAUGCAACAUAAGAGAUGCAAGGUCAAUAAUGCAAUCUUAGACAUAGAAGGCAGCUCAACUGCUUCGGGAUGACACCACCCACCUUCUAAUAAUGCCGCGACUCUAAAUUCCGAGUUUCGCGAUUUUUGGAUGUCGCAUCGGCCUUCCAGGCAGAAACGAAGCUCAAACAGUCCUUUUUUUCAAUAUCUUUGCGCAGAUUCGACGGAUCACCGAACCGACUUCACCAGCGCAUUAGAAUACCUAGCAAUUAGGUUUAUAUAGGUUCAAUUUAGAUAUAACCCAAACAUUUCAUAAAACCCUAUUUUUGAAUCCUAGAAACUUGCUAUUACAACAUACACCAUAGAAUCCUUUGAUUCAAGCAAUAAUCACCUAUUUAGCAUCUAAGGGCUCUACUAAAACCAUUUCUAGAGCAUAAAAACUCAACCCUAGAAAUUUACCAUUAAAGAACAUCAAGCUUACCUCAAAAGCUUGCUCCCUCCAAGCAAAGGAAGAAGAUGAUGAUGGUGUUCUUCCUCCAAACUCCAAUCUCCACCAAAUUCCCCUCUUACUUCACACCUUAAAGAGAGAGAGGAAGAGAGAGGGAGAGGGAGAAAAGAGAGAGGAGUAGUCCUCAAGUAACCCUCAUAAGGCACAACUGCUGAAAACCCCCUCAACAAGCUGUUUAGUUGUAAUACACUGAACUUUCGCAAAUUGCAGAGUUCGAGUGUGUGGAAUGAAAUGUGGAGCUAUUCUAUAUGUUCUAAAUGACUUGGACAAGUUUUUGAAUAAGUUAGAGAGUGAUUGGAGGGUUAAAAACGAGAAAGUGCAUUGAACUGGCGAAAUCAGCCUUUUUCUGCUUGCUGUACCGGUACAGCCAUUAUCUUGUACCGGUACACCUUGACAAAUACGUGGCAGCAAGGGUCUUUUGGUUAUUUCACAUCUUGUUCUCAUCUAUUUCAUUCCAGCACGUCUCUGGGGACUCAGUGAAGAUUGCUGAAGCUCAGAGCAAGCUUCUUGCAGCUUCUUCUCUCUCUCUCUCUAGGGUUUUUCUCUCUCUAGAUAAAAGUCGCUGUUUUGCACCGAUUUCGCGCCGCGCUCGAUUCUCGCUUGUUAGAAGACUCAAGGGAAGUCUUUGGAACGUGGGAAAGAAGGGUUUUAUUGUGUUUUCUGUGAGGAUACUGCCAGGGAAGCUGACUCUCAGCUUUAGAGAGGUAAUUAACUUGAUUUCUCUCUAAAUUACGGUUUAGUAUCGAAUUUGGAGUUGUGUUGGCUUUCUUUGCUACCAACUGAAUUAGAGGCUGUUUUCAGCAGUAAAGAUGACUUAAGUAGCUGUGAAUUAGCCCAAGGAUAAGCUGAUUUGCCACUUGAAUAAAGUAAUGAGUAAUUAUGAUGCGAAUUCGGAACGAUACGAAGUUUAAUUGCAUAAUUGAUGCAGUUUGGAAUUGGUAUCUUCGCAGCAGGUUUCCUGAUUACAUUGAGCUUAAUUGGUGACCUUGGGACUUCGUUUACAGGGUGUUCCAUCCAGGGGUAAGCUGUAAGUUAAGUUAGAAAACUGAAUUCGCAUGGUUUCGGCUUUUGGAACUCGUAUACGAGCGUUUUGACGCCGUUUACCAUUUCUUCGCAGCAGGAAUGCAAUCGACCCUUAGAUUGUUUUCAGCCGAGUGUUGAGGUAAUGAACUGAACCAAAACAAGGAAGUAAGCUUCCACUUUGUAUCUAUUAAGAAUUUUGCCGAAAUUGGAAUUGUAAGUAAUCGGCUCGACACGGUUUUGUUACCUUGUUUUCAGCAGGAUUGGGACCUUGUUGAGCUGAUUAUUGGGACAUCUUGUGACUGAUUUGAGCUUAGUACGAGGUGGGUUUGACCUAACCAGAGCAAGUGGAGCUCCCCUAUAUUCUAUAUGUGCUAUAGAAUUGAUACAGUUGUAUGAUUCCGUGAUUGAUAUAGAACUUGAGACGAGUCACUAGAUUAUAGUGUUGAUCUAUAUAAUUGAGUUGAAAUCUCUAUGAAGUAGAGAACACUCAUGCAUAUAAGUCUUUAUAUACAUGUUUAAUUUGGUUGAGUGAUUAAUGGACAAGUUAUCAUGUUUCUAGAAAAUAGAAAACCGUGACAUCUUUAUGACACUUUCUUGACUCUAACGUAGAGAAUGACGACAUGCUUAUGCUUAUGUUUAUACUGCCAGAUGUAAAGUAGCAUUACUCUUGCAUGUUUAUUAAUCUAGUGGAUACUAGCUGUUAUCAAUACUUGUUAUAUUGAGAUUCCGAUCAAAGGAUCGAGAGCAAGAACAAUGCUAGUUGGAAAGUGAUGAGUAAGACGUAUUGAGCUUUAGAUUUGCUUGCUGCCAUUGUGCUCAUUCGCACACGCUUGUAAGGGUCGCUCCCUACAAGCCGGCACUCCGGAAUUGGCCUACGCGACAGUUGCUCGCUGUGCGGGAUUGGGUGCCGAAGUGGAUUGUCGUGGGGAGUAUACACUACCACGGGACCAUUAGGCGCGGCGCAAGCUGGACUACCUUGAGUAGGUCCCUGUGAAUGAAAGGAAAGUGCUAACGGACUUUGAACAGUAAUGGCUGAUUACCAGUUACAGUGUACAGUAGUUCCUUACACAUUUUAUGCUUAUGUUCAUGUUAUAUUCAUGCUUACCAUAGUUGCUAAGCUUUAUGGAAUCAGUUAAUUCAUUACUGUGGGAAGUAUCACUACAUAUUGCUUACAUGUUUAUUACUUGUUAGCAUUGUAAACAUAUCAUGCAAAUUACUGCUUUUAUUUUUAUUUAGUACAUCAUGAGCCUAGUGGUGUAAUUCGCCGAGACUGACAGCUUACCCACUGGGAACUAUUAUUUAUAGUUCUCACGCCUUUUUCGGUGGUUGUUUUUACAGAGCCAUCUACAGGAGAGGCUAGGGAUCGUGGCAAGGGAGUCGCGUCUAGCUAGACAUUGCUAGGAGCAUACUAGUCGAUCACCUUGCUACUCGGGCUACGACCGAGGGUGAUGUCCCUAUGUAUAGAGAGACCACCAUUGUACCUAUUCUUUUGUAUACCCCGUGAUGUAUAUGUACUUUGUGGACAGUCACUAUGGUUUCACUAUGGUUAUGAUACUUUCUCUUUUAGUCGAGGUUUUGGAUUGUACACUUUUUGUUCUUUUGCUGAUAGCAUAUCGACUUGUACUUUGCUCUGAUAUCAGGAUAGGAUUUUACUAUGCUUCUUCCUAUCGACUUGCUUCUUGUAGACGCCUUAUAUACUGCAGGUGUAUGGCGGGUCUGUGUACGUACCGGAUAUGCUUCCGCUGGUACUCGGGCCUGACAUUAGUGCACAGCCCGAACUGGGCUGUUUCGGGCUACGGGGUCCGGACCCUGUAGCUAGGGUCCGGACCCUGAGAGCGUAUAAAUUCUGCAAAUUGCAGAAUAUUAACAUCUUGCUCUCCAAGGUCCUCACUAACCCUCUAAAGUUAUUUUCGACGAUUUUAGCCUUUCUGAAACGUCCAGAACUCGCCUUCGAUCAAUUUUGAUUGAAGUUUGGUUUCGCGUAUCGAGGUUUCAUUUCCUCACACCCCUCAACAACAUGCAGACUGCAUCUGCAGUGCAUACCUGUACGCGGGCUGGAGUACCAGUACCACGCAGCCGAGCGCGUCAACCCGAGCCUCGAUCAAGCGAGAAAAAAUAUGCAGGGUACCGGUACCCUCGCGAUGUCGUACCGGUAUCAGGUCCAAUACCGGUACUCAGGCAAUGCAGUACCGGUACUCUACCUCGCGGAGCUCAACUCGAGAGCAAUCCAAAACCUACAGUUUAGAUGUUUUGGUGCAAAGUACUCAUCCUCGCUUCUCGAAACACGAGUAAUAGGUCGGAACACAGUCAACGACCCUCCAGAAAAUGCGAAAAAGCUCAGAACACUAAUUGAACACUCGAACCUUACAACUUGCUAAAGUUUAAUGUGUUACACCUAAUGAAGACGGUGAACCGUUCACCGCCUUCAUAGAGCGGUGAAACGGUUCACCGUCUCCAUAAUGUGGUGAACAGCUCACCACUUUCAGAAAGCGGUGAACCUUUCACCACUUUCUCAAACAUUCGAGGUCCCUAUUUUCUUCUCAGACAUUUGGGUUCACCAUCUCCAUAAAGACGGUGAAUGGUUCACCAUCUUAUCUAUAUUUUAAUUCCAUAGUCGAGAACUUAGAAAAAAAAUCUUCUCUCAAAUUUCGGAGGGUGUAGGGUCGCACUAAAGACGGUAAAUAAAUCGCCGCCUUAGUGAAGACGAUGAACCAUUCGCCGUCUUCAAUACUUAUAUUACGAAAACGGUGAACGAUUUACCGCCUCAGUACUUAUAUUACGAAGAUGGCGAACCAUUCAUCGUCUUCAGAGGAAAUAUUUGACCUGACUCCUACGUAGCGAAAAGAUGGUUAGUUUUCCAAAUAUAAAUUUGACAGAAUUAUUUCACAAAUUGUAAAAUUUUAGAGUAUUAUUUUUUUAAAAAGUUCACUCAAUUUCAAUCAAAAGAAAUAUUGUUGAGAGACUUAUAAUUGAGGGGUCUUUUUUCAUGCAGUAAGAAAGUAUUAUUAAAAAAUAUUCACAUAUCACAGUGAGUCAGGUGCAAUAAUUUAGUUAUAAUAAAUUUUUUGCAACCACAUUAGUAAAUGGAGGAAGUGCAUUUUUACAUAUUUUUACCUCAACACUCUUUUUUAGCUAAUAAUGUUACGGGGUUUUGCUUAUUUAUUGCUUACUACUAUUGAAAAUUUUAAAAUUUAUUAUGAAAUUACCAAAAUAUCUUUAUAAAAUUAAAUCCCAUUAGUAAAUCCUUGAGAACACAAGAAUAUUUUAAAAAAAAUAUUUAAAAUUACUAAGGAUAUUUUGAUCCUUUAGUGAUAAAUAAAAUAUUUUUGGAGUUUUGAGAGCCCAUCGUCAACUAUGCAUGAUUGUUUCACGAAUCUCACUUUAACAGCUGCCAUAAAUUACCGGGCAAUAAAUUUUAAAACUAGAAAACAAAUACAAAUGAAUAUUUGUAUGGUUAAGUAAGAAAAGAAAGAAUAUUUUAUCUUAGGCUUAACAAAGUAUGGGCAUUGAGAAUUGGGAAAAAUAUAAGAUAACCUACUAAACUUUAGAUUUUUGUCAGAUGACCUGCUGAACUUCUAAUAUUAAUAACAAGACCCCUUAAACAUUGACAAAUAAGGGAACUACUAAUUGAACAGUCGUAUUAACGACAUCUUACAAUAAAUCCUGUAAAGCUUUACAAUACCCAAAGGAGAAAAAAAAAAAAAUCCUACUUAUUGUUAAACCAAUGAAAAUAAAAUAUUAGUAUUGAAGAAAAAUGAAUCCAUCUUCGCUUUUUUCUAGCUUUUUCCCAAGCAUUAGAAUGUUCUAAAACUUCACAAGAUAAUAUAUAAGACAUUUGUGGAGAAUAACUAUUUAAUCAGUAAUUUUGCUUCUACAGGAGGAUUUGUUGAACAACUUGAAAAAAUAAAAAAAUUAGGAAAUUUACUAGCCAAACAAAAGUGAAAGUUCAAGAGAGGUCAUCUGCCAAACCUCUAAUAAAGUUCAGUCGGUGUUUACACAUUUAUUUAUCCCUUUGAGAAUUUGAGAUACAUGAGAUAGCACAAAGCUCAUCAUUACCAAUAUAAAGCCAUAUGAAGGUAUAAACACGUGAAAUACUAAAUAUGGCAAAAAUAGUUUGGAGAAUAUGAUAGACGAUAAGCUUAUUGUAAGCAUUCAUAGCAAUAUUUUCUCACGCUAAAAUCAAAACAAACUAAAUUUAACCCAAAAAUUCGAAUCCUCAUGGAAGUACAGAGUUGCUGUUCCAUUUCUAAACACAGCUCUUCUAAGAGAACGUAAAAGAUCCUCAUAUACAUGAAAUAUCAGCCUAAAAAAUAGAAAAAGAAAAAGGAAAGGAAAUACAACAAAGCUAAUCUUAAGAUUGCUCUCACUAGAAAUUUAUGUUUUUAGUCAUGUAGUCCCUUACCACCUGCUUUGUUUUUAUUGACAAUUAAAAGCUCUACUCUCAGGUUUACUACACUUCCGAAACAGCUUAAAUUGUCGAAAGAAAUUGCAAACCUCUGUUUCCCCUUGCCCCAUUUUAGCUACCAACUUUCCCCGUCACUUGUGAAUAAAUAAUUUGCGAAUCAUAACAAAAAGAAAAAAAAAAAGAAAGAAUCAAAUAUUUGAUAUUUAGAAAUUUAGUUACCUCCGUGCUUCUAAUUCGAUGCCACCCCUAAACAAUCCAAACGCACGGUGGUUUGUCAGCCCUCCGCCCAGCUAGGGUUCUAUAAACAAAGAGCUUCUCAACGGGGCAAUCAUUGGGCCGCAAUUCCCACGAUGGCCUUCCUCCCCUCUCGUCGAUCACCUCCACAUUAAGCUGCGGCAUUUUUUGGGCCAGAAGCCGACAGGCACCUAAAGUGACGGCACAUGACGACAUCCAAAGGGAUCGCAUUGUCUCGAGCUUGGCCGCGUUUGCCAGCAAGGGCUUGGCCCCAAAAGGACAAUCCCUAAUUUCGAGUUUCUUUAGGCUCUUGCAACCAGAAAGAAUGUAGUGGAGGCCUGCAUCACUAUCCCCAGCGAACGCAACCGAGAGCAUCUCAAGGCAGUCAGCAUAGGCCCCAAUAGAUUUGAACACACGAUCAGUGAGAAGGCCGGAGAGGGACAGGCGGCAGAGGUCCCUGCAACAGGUGGAGCCAGAAUCCAAACUUAGGGGGCCAAGGAACUAGUGCAUUGAGAUGGAAAGAUGAAGACAGCUGUUUUCACAAUGAGUAGUGCUUUUGAUUCAAAUAAGAAUUAUUAUUGACAAAAUAGAUUCACUGAACUUGGCCAGUUUUACCAAGCAACACUGACCUAGUUCAGUUAUCAUAAUUUGUAAGUACGACCCUUUAAUAAUGAAAACUGUUUCCUUAAACUUAGGAGGGGCAAUUGCAUUGCCCCUCUCAACACCUGGCAGCACUGCCACUACCUGCAAGACUCGACGAUGGCACUGAAGCCGGCGUCGAGGGGUUGGAAAGUGAGGUAGUCAGGGGUAUGAGGCUCAAGGAUGCAAAGGCGGAAGCGGAUCAGAUUAGGGCGGUUGUGGGCCACGGUAAUGAGGGCACUGUUGGUCAUUUGCCGGCAAAAGUAGAGGACGGAGUGAAGCAUUGGGCAGCCAGUGGAGACAGCGAUAAGGCCACGUUCGGUGAGGGAGACAGGCGGCUGUGCCACUUCCCCAUAUGGGUCGGACGGGAAGACGCGGAGUUCUUGGAGGAGUUUGCACGAGGACGCCACCACAGCUAGGCCCGCAUCCUCGAUGAAAUCCAUUACCUGUAAUUUGUUUUUCAAUUUUAGUCACAAGAAUAUUUAAAAGAUCUUAACAGCUAAUGUAGAAAGAUCAAUAUGGGAAUUUUGACUACAGUCGUCUCAUAAACUGUUAAAAUGUAAGAAACCCAAAUAAUUCACACUGCCUCACCCAACCCAAUAUAAACUACAAAACUAUGAGAAUGGUUAAAAAAGUAUGUCCUGCCUGCAACAAGAAAGAUAAUUCUUUGCUUUAGAUAAAUUCCAUGUGAUACAACUACAAAACCAAGAAAAUAGAGAGUAAUUAGAAAUAUAUACCCAUAAUUUUUGCAAAUUCUUGCACUGGCUGACUAGUUUUAUAAGAUCAGGGCUUUGUAUAGUAGCGUAGCUCAAAUUCAGCGAUGUUAGACCUUCACAAAUAGAGUAUAGAGCAGGUAGGUGAGCCGGAACAGCCUCCCAAAUCCCAGAGAGGCCUCUAAGACUUUUGCAACCAGAAAAGGCCGAUUCAAGCUUAUGAAAAAGCUCUGGAUAAUAUUCAGCGUCGAACCGCCCGGUACCGAGGUCAAUUAGCUGUGGAGCCCUGCGAAGCAGGAUGUUGAGCUUGUCUAGAGGAAAGGCCUGGUUGAGUCCGAGGGUCUUGAGAUUGGGGCAUCUGCUGACUAGGCGCUCGAGGACGGAGACAUUCACCUCUCCUUCGAGGCAAGCAAUGUUCAAGUUUACCAAAGAGGUGAAAGAUUCAGGAAAGUGGCUAAGCCAAUGGGAACAAUUUUCCUCGAUCAUGUUUUCCUGUAGGUCGAGCUCCCUUAGGUUUCUGCAACCAAACAAAAAAGGUAAACAAAAUAAGGAAAAAAAAAAAAAAAAGGAUUCAAUAGAAAGUGUGAAAGCAGCUGUUAUGCUCUGGAAAAAUAUGUAUUUUGAAAAGGCGCGAGCUACAAUGAGGCGCAAGGACCUUCCAGAGCCUAGGCGCAAGGUGCACCGCGAGAUGCACAUUUAAUAAAAAUAAAACAUUCUUAACAAGCCUAGUUUAAUUUGAAAUUCAACAUAAAAAGAAAAUCCCAAAAUAACCAUAGGAAAACCAAAUAGCCACAAAAACCCAAAGCCCUUGCCGCAUGCUCCCGCUGCUGCUUGCUGGCUUGUUGCGGUUGGCAGGAGAUGGGAGGUGGGGAGGAGAACACGAGACGAAGAGAGAACGACAAAGAGGAAAGUGGGAGAAACGUUUCUAGAUUCUAAGUAGGGUUUCUUUUAAAUCCCUUAAUGGGUUAGUUUAUAUUAAUAAACCUGAGAACUGGAGAAUCAAACCCAAAAACCCAAUUAACUUAAACAUUACGAGGCGCGCCUGAGACGCUCACCUCGCACCUCUCCUAAGGCGCGUGCCUCAGAGCCUAGCGUACGCCUGAGGGAGGGCGCUGCACCUCAGGGAAGGUUCCCUGAGGUGCUAAGGCGCGUGCCUUUUCAAAAACUAUUAGUAGCUUAGAUAGAAAAGCAGAGUUUGAAAGAGACCUAGGAAACAAAUUACUAAAAUUGUACAACAGUGCAAGUGAAUAACCAGGUUAAAUCAGUAAUGAAUAAGUCAAAAAUCCAAAAACAUCCAAUUUUGUUGUUUUUCAAUAUAGAAUGCAAGAAACCCACAAUGUUUUUUCACUAAAGCUUUGCAAACUGAAUAAGUGAGUGAGUUUCAUGAUACCAUAGUUGCAAGAUUAAUACAUGGAUAGAGAAAAGGAGUAAAAAAAAAAAAGGAAUAGAGUUAGCAGUUAUUCCUCAAUAAGUUAAUGAAAAAAAUAUAUCUGAUUGACAUCUUCCCCAAUAUAUCAAACAAGAACCACAAGGUUAUUUUUCUUCAAAAAAAGGUAUUGGAGGCCAUAAAUGGGAAAAAAAAGUAGAUUUAAUUUAUUUUGGUUACUAUUAUACAAAAUUCUAAUUCUAAGUCCCAUAUAUGUAUGAAAUUAGUUUUUAGAUUAUGAACAACAGCUGGUUGAGUAUAAGACAAAAUGUUCUUUUUAAAGGAUUAGUUAAGAUUUCUUUUGAAAUUCCAACUGAUGAUUCUUUCAGAUUAGUAGAAUUCCUUAAUUUAAGGGAUUUGUUAGAUUUAGAUAAUGUAGUAAGUUUUAAAUAUAAUAAUUUUUUGAAAAUUAGAGUUUACCUAAGUGCCUCAUUGCAUUCUCUUUCUGGCCUGGGCUUGCUUGAUCAACCUCUCAUGUCUCAUCUUCCUCAUCAUUUAUUUUAUUUUUUACGCAGCUUAAAGUGCUGUCAUUUAUUUAUUUUUAAGCAGCUUAAAGUUCUCUUUGAACUUCGGAUUGCAUCAGUUUGAUAUCAAAGCCAGCAAAAGAUUCUAGCCAAAAGAACACAUUGGCUUUUCUAUUUAAUUUCAUCCUCGGUCUUCUACUACAACUUUCUGUUGUCUUUCUUACUUACUCUUUCUCAUAUACUCUAUAAUCUGAAUCACCAUAAUGCCAAACUGACAGCUCAGACAAAGCAACACGAUUCUCCAAAAAUGGCCGCACAACCAUCAUGCAAUGAUAGAUCCCUAAGAAACAGAACCUGGGUAACCUCAUAGCAGCAUCCCUAGUUAGAGGCAUUUUUUGCAAAUACUUACCAAUUCAAUAAGAAAACUACUUUAAUUUUGACACUUGGAACACAUGAAGUAGUUUAUUUACAACAAAGAGAACCCCGCAAUUACAAAGUACACUUAAAUUGAACAACCUUAUCUCAAGCUGAAAGCAUCCUGAUUUUGCCAUGCACUCAAACUUAAUUCCAAAAAUUUUGUAAAUCAUAACAUUUUAUUCUAACUAUUUACUUCCAACAUUGCACAUUUGCACUAUAAAGCACUAGUUGCUUAUUGCUGCUUUAGACCUUGAGAAGGCCAUGGAACUCGAGGACAACUAAUAAUGGUUCACACGCUAACACCUAACUAGGCAAAAAUUAAGAAACAAAUAGCACAAAUAACAAAGGUAAAAAGUCACAGGGGCCCUCCAACUAUAGUACACUUUUUAUGGAAAACCCCUAAACUUCUUUUCUUAUCAGAACCCACUAACUUUCAUUUUCUUUUAUUCCAGUAGUUUGCCUAUCUAUGUAGAUUUGCCAAUAAAAUUAACAGUAAUAUCAAUGUGAAUUUUUAUUUGUUAGAUUCAAUAAGCACACCAUAAAUUUCACUUUUUCCAAUUUGUGCAUGUUGUCUGUAUAGGUAGAUUUCCCAAUAGAAUUAACUGCAAAUUCAGCAUCAGUUGUUACAUAACAAUGAAGAGUCCAACUAUAAUUACCAUUGACUCUAAAAUCAAAGCCACUAAAACGGGAGCAAGUCAUCAAAUCAGCAAGGAAAAAAAAAAAACCAUGUUCAGGAAAUGCUGAUUGAGCGAAAUACAGAGACCAAAACGAAAACAACGGAUAGUUGAAGGUCCUCUAUAGUUUUUUCAACAUCUACAAGGCACUAUAGAGUUCGAAGUAGUCUUAAGGGCUCCCGUGAGUAUGAAUCAAACUCAGGUAGUAAACAAUAAGAAGCGAGAACUACUUAAAGGCAGAAGCACAGAAUCAAUGCAGUUUCUUUGCAAGUGACAAGAACAGCAUCUUUUUGACAGCUAAGAGCCAGAUAGGAUAAUUCCCAAUCCAACCUUAAAAAAUAAAAUAAAAUAAAUCUAUUUGGCAUGAAAAAGAAAAAGAAAAAAAAAAAAAAAAAAAAAAAAAAAAAAAAAACCACAAGAAGCGAUUUAAAAUCAGCUAGAAACAUCAGAAAAUUAUAGCUCGGAUCUUCCCACCCAAAUCACUGAGCUACUUUAACAAACUGAAUAAUUAUAAUCCCCCCCACGGGUCACCCAAAUAAAAAAUAAAACAAAUAAAAAAAAAAUUCACUGGGCUAAGAUGCAUCUAACUUCAGAUCUGGUCAAAAUCAUAUAAACUUUUGUAGGCAGUUCUCCUCUACUCAAAUGCAAACAAACAUAUUUAUCCACCAAAUUAAGAAAAACUGAAACCCAAAAAAAAAAAAGGGGACUAUAUCACACUUAUUAUCAAAUUAAACCAACCCAUUCAAAAUCCUAACUUUUAAACAAAUCCAAUACUCAAAAUGCAAAUAAACACUUUACCCACUAAAUUAAAAUAAAAACAAGAAAAAAAAAAAACGUACUAUGUCACACUAAUUUUCGAACUAAACCAACGCAGUCAAAAUCCUAAUUUUUUAAGCAAAGAAACAUCAAAUAACAAGACGGAGAAAGAAAUGAUUCAAACAAAAAAAAAAAAAAUGGCUUUCACCUGCAGUGUGCGGCGAUGGCGGCGAGGCCCGCGGUGGAGAAGCCGUCGCAGGAGGUGAGGGCAAGCACGCGGAGGUUCUUGAAGGCCCUGGCAAGGGCCUCGAGGCAGUCGUCGGAGACGACCAUGCGCUUGAGGCGGAGCUCCUCGAGGAGGGGCCACCCCUCGGCCAUGGCGGCGACCCAGGCGUCGGCGCCGCCGCCCCAGUCGCCGGGGACGAGGUUGAAGUCGGCGAAGUGGGGCUUCCCCUUCACCGCCGCCGCCCGCGCCUCCGGGAACCGCGCCACCGCCGCCGCGGGCGCCACCGCGUAGCAGUUCCCCACGAACACGCGCCGCCGCGACCGCCGCUCGGCUCGGCGUCCGAGCCGAGGAACGAGAACACUUGCUCCCACACCUCGUCCGGGAACAUCGCCCACGCCGGCCCUCCGCCCCCGCACCGCAUCGUGACGAANGCCGCGUUCCGAUCCGCGUCCGAGCCGAGGAACGAGAACACUUGCUCCCACACCUCGUCCGGGAACAUCGCCCACGCCGGCCCUCCGCCCCCGCACCGCAUCGUGACGAAACCCUAGAAGAUCCCUCCGCCGCCGCAGAGCAUUGGAAAAGACCUAGAUCGCUCAGCCGUCGCCGAUGCCAACUCAGAGAAUGGGAUCGCGCCGUGAUGAAACCGUAGAGCGCUCCACGGCCGUCGUCGCCGCACGGUCGCUAUCCGCUAUCCGACGGCGGAGAUCGGCUCGUCGUCAGAAGAAGAAGCCAUCAUUGAGACAGAGAAAGAGAAAAGAAGAAGAAGCAGAAGCAGCAACAGCAGCAGCAGCAGAUGAUAGGCUUGUGAAGGGAAAGAGAAAGUGGUGGGGGUGGGGGGAGACCAACAGACGAAGAAUUUUCUUUUCUUUUCUUUUCUUUUGGGCUUUUUUCGAAAAUAACCCUGUAAAAUUUCGUAUUUGCCAAACUAAUCCUGUGAAAUUUUUAUUUGUGAAACUAACCCUCCUCUCGCCACGUGGGCGCCACGUCAGAGGUUCCUCAAAAAGACGGUGAAUCGUUCACCGUCUUUGUAAUUUUUGUUGUAAAGCGGUGAAUGGUUCACCACUUUUAGAAGGCGGUAAACCAUUCACCGUCUUUAGUGCAAAAUUUUCCUUUCCACCCUUUCCCCUUUCCGCCCUCUCAAGUCCGUCGUUUUUGUGCCCUCGAGAAGACGGGAAACGAUUCACCAUCUUAUCAAGGACACCAUAUUAUGGACUUGAAAAGAUUUGCGCAGAGUAGGGAUUUGUACUAAAGACGGUGAAUGGUUCACCGCCUUAUGAAGACGGUGAACUAUUCACCGCCUUCACAACAAAUAUCAAAGACGGUGAACGAUUCACCGUUUUUUUGAGGAAUUCCUGACGUGGCGCCCACGUGGCGAGAGGAGGGUUAGUUUCACAAAUAAAAGUUUCACAGGGUUAAUUUGGCAAAUACGAAAUUUUACAGGGUUAUUUUCGAAAAAAGUCCUUUCUUUUCUUUUCUUUUUUUUUUUGCCCCUUGGUAAAAGUGGAUGGAGACUCCAUCAAUUUUUAUUGAACGGUCUAUAUAGGCUCUCUCCGUAACAAAUUUUCUUUUAUAAAUAAUCUUACUUAUUUUUAUAAUUUUAAAAAUAAUUUUUAUUGAAAUUUUAUUGUAAACGUAGAUCUGAAAUAGGUGGUCAGUUCAGCAUUUACGGGUAAUUUCUUCGUAUGCGGAUUCCAUUUUGCAAUGAAUCAUUCACCGCGUUUGUAGGAAACGAAUGAAAAAUUAAGAAAGCAAUAAAUCGUUCACCGUAUUUAUAAUAUACCGAAACUUCGGUAGAGAAUGUCGAACUUUAGUCAAAUUGACCAAAGUGCGAAAUCGGUUGCUUCGGAACGCUUCGGAAAGUCCGAAACGCGUUGAAAUGACUUUUAGGGGUGUUAGGGGACCUUAGUGAGCAAUUGGGAGUGUUUCUGCACUUUUGCAGAAAAAUGUGUUCACGGGGUCCAGACCCUAGCUGCAGGGUCCGGACCCCGUAGCCCGAAAAUGCCCAGUGCGGGGCAAUGUGAAAAAAGGCUUGUUUGGAGUGUUUAGUGCAAAUGUGCAUAAGUGGAGUGUAUAUGAGGGUUGAGAGCUCAUUCCUUCUCAUUUCCACACACCCUCACACAACACAAGAGCUCUCUCUCUCUCUAAAGGAUAUCUCUCUCUCUCCAAUGGGUGGAAGCAAAGGAGGAUUUGGUGGAGAAGGAGGCUAGGAGGUGAAGCCAUCUCUUCGAGUUAGCUAGCGAGGAAUCCUCGAGUUAGCUAGCGAAGAAUUCGACGAUAGGUGGUCUACCUCUCUUCUGAGUUUUGUUUGGAGAGGUUGAAAGACUUGUACUAUUUUUGUAGAGAUCACCCCUUAUAUGUAACUUGAGACUUAUUGUCACGCUCCGAGACCCAACAGAAGUCCGCCCGGUGCGUGUCUAGACCCGCCAUACGUCUAAAACAUAUAAAGCAUCUACAAUAAAACGACAAAUAAAGCGAUAGAAUAAAGACAUCUAGAAGUAUCAGAGUAAAGUACAACUAGAUUCUACAAAAGAGGAGUAAGCAAAAGGCUAAAAUCCACUAAAAGUAAACCAUAAGUAGUACAUUCGAAAUCCGAAGUACAAAAGCUAAAAGUAAUACAUAGGUGGUCUCCAUACAUGGGUACAAAACCUCACUCUCACACAACAAACAAACAAUAAGAGAGAAAACCACCUAAGCAAAAUGUAAAUCUUUACUAUCUAGCUACGCGACCCCUUUGCCACGAUCCCAUGCCUCCACCGGUGCUGAAGGCUCUGAAAGAAAACCAUAAAACAGAGGGCGUGAGAACUAUUAAAUAAUAGUUCUCAGUGGGCAGUUACUGACUUCAGUGCAAUGCUCCAUUAGGCCUGAAAACCAAGCAGGUAAGUAAGAAUAAAUAAGACAAAUAUUUAAACAUGAAUACUUACUAAACCAUGAUAUCUCUACUUAGCAUGAAUUUGCAUAAAUAAUAAGCUACUGUAACAUGAAUGUACAAGAGUACAACUAUCAUAAUGUCCACAAGCUAAAUAGUAAAAUGGCGUUGUUUACUAUUCUAGUCAAUGUCCACUCAGUAUACUAAGUUAUCAAUGUUCCAAUCCUGUAGGACCUAUCCGUGGGUAGUCCGGCCUGCGCCGUGCCUAAUGGCCCCGUGGUAGUCAACAUCCCCACUCUAGAAAUGAGCCUCCCCCAUGGCAUCCCAUUUCGGCGCCCAAUCCCGCACGGGCAAGUAUGUGUCGCGAUGGCUAUCUCCGGAGUACCGGCUUGUGGGGAGCGACCCUCACAAAUAUGUGCGAAUGAGCGCAAUGGCAAGCAAGCGUAAAAGUCCGUCUCAAGUCUCAAGUCAUCUGUCUAAAACAUGGAAUGUAACAAAUCUCUCAAUGGCCUAUCACUAUGUUAUCAUGUCUAAAACAUGGAAUAUAGUCGAUGUCACAAUGGCCUAUCAAUAUGUCACUAUGGUACAGUUCAACUGUUUACUAGUUUGGGUGCCUCUUUAUGGCACUUUUGUCCAAUGUGUUCAAACAUGAGUUUGGUGUCCCAGAGCACUUAAUUCUAACCAUUUCCAACACAUGAGACAUGUUCCAAUUUACAAAAUAGAAUACUAAUCAUAUGCAUGAGUAAUACAUUUAACCCUCUAUUACAUAAGAGUCAAUUUUUCAUAAAACAUAACGCAUGCAUUUUAAGUAUUCUAAAAUUCAUAAAAAUCCUAUCUAGCAUGAAUAUGCAUGCAUUUCGAUAAAACAAUAACUUUUAACCACUUAGGAGAAGAUUUCUCCUGUUCCAAUGAAGCCAAACCCACCGUGACUUCACGAAACCCUUUGUUUGCGCCGACGAAGGUGCCUACUACGCUCCUAGUACCCUAAAGGUAACAAAAGGAGGGAUAUACGAAUGUUACGAACAAUCAAUUGCUCAAAUAUUAAGCAACUCAAGCAAAGGUGAAGGAAACUCAUCGAAUGCGAAGAAACCUCUCACGAUCUCCAAAUGGGAAUUAGAGGCCCUCAAAUCCAACCUAAAUAAAGGUUCUAAUAAAAUCAAUAAGGUUCCAAAAGCCUCAAAUCCAAAAUCCCCAUUACUAACCCUAAAUCUCUAUUUCUAGGGUUACAACUCAAAAAUCAUGCAAAUCAUGAUCAAAAGAGAAGGAGCAAGCAACUAACCUCUCUAAAAGCUCCAAACAAGACUCAAGAUCCACCGAAGUUGAGGCCCUUCCCCCAAGCAAGCUCCAAUCCCUUCUCCAAUGCUUCUCCAAUAGUGAAAAGAUCACCCAAAAGCCAAAAGAAGCAAAAGAGGAGAUCAAUCCUCUAAAAAUCCAAGAAAAUGAGAAGGUAAAUCAAAGAGGGAGAGUGGAGGGGCUCUCUCACCUUGUUCCCUGCUGGCCCAAGCUUAGGGAACAAGAGAGGAGGCGUGGGGUUCAAAUAGAUAGGCCACAAAUGCAAAAACACCCCUCAACUCACGCAGUCAGAAUUCUACAUUGUGUACCAGUAUACGGGAAGGUGUACCGGCACAAAACCCUGUGCAUGCAAACCGAGGCUCGAGUUGACAGAAAAAUCCAUCUGUACCGGUACAACCAUCGAGUUAUCACCAGUACACUUUCUGUACCGGUACAACCAUCAAGCUGUACCGGUACACAACCCCCCAAAAUGCAAUCCGAGAGCAGCCUAAGUCCAUUAUUUUGGCCACUUUAGCGCUACUUUAAAUACUACAAUUCUCGAAAUACGAGCCAUAGGUCGGAACACUGUCAACGACCCUCCAGAAUAUCUGAAAAAACUCAGAACACAGAUCAAACACUCAAAUCUCGCAAUUUGCAAAGGUCCAGUGUGGUACACUUAUGAUGUAUUAUU